rnacentral:lncRNA from 1 species
UGCUGCAGCAGCUCGGGCUCCUCCUGCAUGCCACAAAUGGCCCACAAAAAAGAAGAAUCCUAGAACAAAAUGGGAGGUCGCUAACCAACUUCUAGGAGAGACAUAAUUAACAGCAUUGAUCUCGGUAGCUACGCCACCCACGGAAUUUAAAGAGCCUAAAGGAGCAUGGGUCAUAUAUUCUGCUGAACGUCGUUCUUGCCAAGGUUGGAUGUCUUUUUUCAUCCUACUCAAGUCCAAACCGUUGGGGCCUCUGCUAAUAUGGGCCGCUCAUAGGUUUUUGGUCACAAACUGCUAUACGCAAGGGCUAGGCAGGGUAACGAAGAGAAGGCAUACAUAAUAUUCCUCUGUCUCCUCUGAUCCUCGUUUCUGAUUCUCCUUCCGUUAACAAUCUGGUAUCAGACGAGUUCGACCUUGGAGAAUCUUCCUCCCAUUCCUGGCCGUCGCCCACGCUCCACGACGUCAGCAGCGGGUGUUGGAUCAGCUCGGCCAAAUGGACGGGCGGCUUAGCCAAAUGGAGCAGCGUCUGACGGACGCGCUCAUAGGACGCUGCGGCGAACUCGAGCAGCGUCUCGCCGAUGCUGAGCAGAAGGCCGAGGCGCGAUUCAUCUCUCUCGAGACGGAUCAGGCUCAGAUUGAGGGUUGGCGUCCCGAGGUCGACAAACGCCUCGACAACAUCGCGCUGGAGCUUAAUCGCGCCAACAAGUUCAUGGAGCGCGAAACUGUUAGGAGUGGCUGCCAUGUGGGGCCAUUGCCAGAGGACAAGUGGGUUUCUGCGGCUAUAAAAGAACAGUUGUAUAGGCUAAGAGGAUAUCAAUUACCAAUUAUCAGAAAACAAACACUAUCCUCCCUUACCUCGUCUCUCCAGUUUACUACUAGCUUUCUCUCUACUCUCUCUCUACUUGCUAUUUCUCUCUAAGAGCAUCUGUGAUGCUAACAGAAACUCUGGCGGUUGACGGCGCCAAGCCGGGCCUCAUCCCUCCAUCUUCGUCGGCGUUUGGGCGGCGGCCUGCUAACAGAAACUCGAGCAGCGUCUCGCCGAUGCUGAGCAGAAGGCCAAGGCGCGAUUCAUCUCUCUCGAGACGGAUCAGGCUCAGAUUGAGGGUUGGCGUCCCGAGGUCGACAAACGCCUCGACAACAUCGCGCUGGAGCUUAAUCGCGCCAACAAGUUCAUGGAGAGAAACUCUGGCGGCCGCCUGCCAACCACACCUUCGCCGAUGGGCCAAUCGGCCACCGCCUCCCAGAAUACCACUGGGAACGUGAGUUUGCGAGAAUCCCUCUCCAAACCCACGGUACGUGUCCAGAUCCAUUCUCUCAUAGCUAUGCCAAUUUUGGUGAUACUGCACGGGAUCUGGAUGGGGUCGUCGCGAGGGAAGUCAAGGGGGUUGCGGAAAAUUACCACGUCUGAAUUUUUCAUCGUUCGACGGGGACAAUCCGUAGUUGUGGAAGACGCUUUACGUGAAUUAUUUUGACAUGUAUGUUGUGUUAGCAACACAGAAGCUUCUAGAGAGAUAACAUGUAGAGAGAAAGUAGCAGUAACGUGGAAAGGGGGUAAGGGAAGGAGAAGACGAGAGGAUAUGUGAUAAUAGUGUUUGUAUUCUGAUAAUUGGUAAUUGAUAACCCUUUUAGCCUAUACAACUGUCCUUUUAUAGCUAUAGAAACCCACUUGUCCCCUGGCAAUGGCCCCACAUAGCAGCUACUCCUAACAUUCCCCACCGCUUGAAAUGCGGCUUGCCCUCAAGCCGCAGAUAGUGUAGCCAGCCUUGGUGUUGAACUGGUUGCGGGUAAAUUGGUAGAUGACUGUUUGGUCGUAGGAGCAGUAGCUGGUGAUGGCUUAUCUGGCAAAGUGUUGCUCUGCUUCAGAACCUGGAUGCAGCAAAGAUGCUUGGCCUCGUAGCAGCUGCUCCUACAAUACUAGAAUGGCUUGUCCCACUGGAGUUGCGAUAGGGAAAGGAGAAUCACCUGCCACCCUUUCUUCUUGACAAAAGACAGACUAGCAUGUUGCAUCUGUAAGUCUCCCAAACCAUGAAUAGACAGAUGCAGUACGCAACACUGAUCACCACCUAGAUUAUGCUUUCCAUUGAACAGCUCCCAUUUUGCUUCAAUUGUAUGAAGUUGAACGGGUUCUGCAAAGACCACAACCAAUUGUGACAGAAUAGACUGGCCUUUGGGCUCCAAAGUGGACAUCCCGUGUUCCCCAGCAGAUUCAUAUAUCAGGUGGUCUGGAAGUAGUUGUAACUUGAUCAAGGCCCCAGAAGGAAAUGAAGACACCAAACCUUGCAAACAGACCGACGUUCCCUGAUAGGAGAUAAUCAUCCACUUGUUGUACCAGCCCACUUUCAUCGUGCUAUGCACUUGUAACCAGUUCCUACCCAGGUUGAGAUCCACCAAUGGCAAGGAUAGAAAUAUCAGGUCGACGACGAACUGGUAACCAGACAUGGGCCAUCUAGUUUGUGGUAACUGAUGAGAACAAGAGAUGAUCGGACUCUUGGCCACUUUUACAUUCAGACAGCGCUCCAAGGGUUGAACACCAGUCAACAAUGGAAAGUACUUAUCAUUGAUGGAAGUAUGUGAAGAUCCUGAAUUAAUGAGCACCAAAAUAUCUUGAUGCUGAAUUUGACCUUGUAAACGCCAUGUGGUAGCUGUCUCGGUACCAGACCAUGCUGAAGAUGACAACACCAUCAGGAGCUGAUCAGAGUUGAUGAGGUUGAAGCGAGCAGGGUGGGAUAUAACCCUGAUGCAGCCUUGGUAGAAAAGAUUUCCUGGAUCCCACGAUUGCACUAAUUUUCUGCAACAAAAUUUCCAGCAAAAUCCAUGGAAGUUAUGAAUCCCACUCCACCAGACACGUACUGAAGACUGCAGCAAAGCAUCGAAACCGUCGAGUACAAGUGAGAUAAUACUAGCAGCCCCAUGACCGUUUAGGCCUCCUUCAAUAAUCUCUAACUCAUACUUCUUAAGUACUAGCGGGCCACAUUUUUCACCACUCUUCUGCUGCGCCAAGGCUUCAAUAAGUUCAUAUCCUAGCCAUGUAAGUAACUCAUGCAAAGUGACAGAAGCUCUGAUGUAUCGUUGAAGUAACCAUGGUGGUUUCCAAACAAAAAGAGCAUUCAAAUUCAUACAACAAUUAAUCAUCGAUGUGAAACUCGGCCAUGGCAUUGGACGUAUCAUACCACACACAUGAAAAAUCUCCAAUGGAAUGAGGAUAAAGUGAGCAUGGUAGGAUAUGAAUAUACCCUUCCUAUCCACCAUGUUCCAUCCCGGCGCAGCGGAAUCCAGCAGCACGUCGACGAGGUGGUUGUCCAGCAGGUUGACCUCGUAGACGUACAAUAUGCCUCUGUUGGUCUUGGCGAUUAGGCCGGACUUGAACGCAUUGCCGCCCUCGGUGGCGGCCUUGAGGAACGCGGUUUUGCCGACCCUUGCCAUGCCGUAGAUGUCAACGGCGCCCACGUCAUCGUCACAGACACAGGUGUGGAGCUCGUGGAGCAGCGCGUCCUUGCCGCGAACCGACGCGCUCGGCAUCUCCUCGAAGCGGAUCUGGACGAGCUCGACGGUGUCCUUGCGGAAGUCUGCCUGCUCGUUGAGGUGGUAGGUGGCCUUUGUAGCUGGACUGCUGGAGGCCGGGUCGGGCGAAAGCUGCAGGGGCGGCUGGUACUCGUCGACGAUCCGCGCGGCGGCGUCCUCGAGCAGGAUGCACCCGAUCUGACUGGUGGCCUCCACGUCUUGGCGCUCAACAGCGUCGACCAUGAGCUUGCCAUGGUGGAGGGAAACGACUCUCCCUCGAAGACAGGUUCCUCGUCGAAGAUAGGACCCUCGUCGAAGACAGGUUCUUCUUGCUGCUAGAAGGUGUAGUAGCUCGCUGUGAAGUGGCUGUGGAGCUCGUCGCACCGCGCGUCCACGCGGCGCUCGACGCCGUCACAGCGACCAACAAUUUUCUCGGUAAGGCGGGCUUCCAUCAGGCGCAUUUCGUCGAGCACCUUACAAGCGAUGGCAUCGAACAAAUCCAUAGCAGUGGAUCGCGGACGCCGAUGCGCUGCUCCGAGCGGAUCCAGGAUGCUGCUCUGAUACCAGAUGUUAGCAACACAGAAGCUUCUAGAGAGAUAACAUGUAGAGAGAAAGUAGCAGUAACGUGGAAAGGGGGUAAGGGAAGGAGAAGACGAGAGGAUAUGUGAUAAUAGUGUUUGUAUUCUGAUAAUUGGUAAUUGAUAACCCUCUUAGCCUAUACAACUGUCCUUUUAUAGCUAUAGAAACCCACUUGUCCCCUGGCAAUGGCCCCACAUAGCAGCUACUCCUAACAUGUUGUUGAUCUUCACAUGUGGAUUAGGGUGGCUUCAAUGCAUUUCACGGGACGCGCCAAAGGUUGGUUGCAUCGCCGCGUACCAUUCUGGUCGUGGUCUUGGUCUGAAUUUUGUGCCCAUGUUCACGAUUGCUUUGCACGUGAUCAACACGAGUCCUUGAUUCGCCAGUUGUUCCACAUACGGCACUUAGGAUCGGUUGCAUAUUAUGUUGAUCGUUUUUCCAUUUUAGUGGAUCACCUCUCUGCUUAUGAAGAACAUGUCGAUCCAUUAUAUUAUACUAUGUGUUUCGUAGAUGGUAUGCAUGUCCGCUAUUAUGGUGCAACGUCCCUCUACAUUGGAUACUGCUGUUAGCGUUACGGAUGCUUCUAGCGAGAAAUAGCAGGUAUAGAGAGAGAAAGCUAGCAGUAACAUGGAGACAUGUAAAGGAAGGAAGAAGACAGAGAAUAGACGAUGAUAGUGUUUGUAUUCUGAUAAUUGGUAAUUGAUAUCCAUCUUAGCCUAUACAACUGUCCUUUUAUAGCUGCAGAAACCCACUUGCCCCUUGGCAAUGGCCCCACAUGGCAGCCACUCCUAACAUUUCCCACCGCUUGAAAUGCGGCUUGCCCUCAAGCCGCUAACCAUAAUCGCCAAGUUGCCGGAGGCCAUGCACAGUCCAGGCGCUCAAACUCCAUAGGUGGAGGCCACAGUUGCUUGAAUCCUACUACACUGUGAGCAAGUCCUGCUAAGUCAUGAAUCAGGGGCUGCAUCCAAGCUUGGUCACCUCCUUUCUGUUCAUACAUCACACAACCUUUAUGCCAGGUUCCCAAUAGAGGAGGAGCUACUUUAGGCAGUAACAUGUAGUAGUUUGGAUGAUAAUCGAGUCACUCCAUUGGAUAAUUUGGGCACCCAGGAAUACCGAGGUCCUGGAGCAUGCCAAAUGACCUGACCACAUCGUCAGUGCGCCCCGCCUUGCCAUAGCAUCGGCUGAGUGAGGUCCAGACAAAGAUAUUUGGCUUUAAUCCAGCCUCCACCAUUUCAUUCAGUAUGACCUCUACACCUAGGACGUUGGCAGUUGAUGAAUACUGCAUCACCAUCGAUGAGUACCUCCACUUAUCAGGCUUGGAAUGAUCAUCCAUGGGCACGCUGAGGUCUCUGAAGAUCUCCUCAGCCUUGUCCACAUAGCCAAUGUCGGCGUACAUGGAUAGAAGCAUGUUGUAGAGCAUCACGCCCAUUGCCUCAUCCUUCAUCAGCUGGUACACAGCCAUGGCAUCCUCGCCAGUGAGUGCCCUAGUGUAUGCAUGCAGGAGACAAUAGUAAGCCGUCCUACUGGGCUGCACUUGCUUGUUAACCAUCUCCCUGUGGAUGGUCUUCACCACCCAAGGUUGCAACACAUGGCCCAUGACAUCCAACAUUGUGUUGCACAUGACCAGGUUUGGCUUCACACCAGUUGCCUUCAUUUCCUCGAAUACGUUGAGUGCACCGUUGAAGUUGCCACUGGUUGAGUGGACCUUGUUCACUGUACAACAGAGCACAGGGUCCAGCUGCCAUUUCUCCGCGCGAGCGCGACAGAGGGCUGCCUCGAAGUUCCCAGUGUGGAUGUACGUGUCGAUCACCGCAGAGUAUGUGAGCCAGUCCGGUGAGCACCCAAACUCCGGCAUCUUGUCGAACCACUCGACAACCUUGCUCAGGAGGCCGUAGGCGCACACAACUGAUGAUGGUCGAGAAGAUGGUGUUGCCGGGCUGCAUGCCGUGCCGUAGCAUCUUGGCCCAUAGCGCCUCGGUCUCGCGCCAGUGUCGUUUCUUGCGCAGCAGCUUGAGCUUGACUUUGUAGAUGAUGACCUUCUUCCAGACCUCAACGUUUCCUAGGAACCAGCGGAGAGCGAGCACAGCGAUCUCUGGCCUGGUGGCGGUAGCCAUGUUGAGCAUGAUGACGGUGUCCUGCUCGGAGGGAGGCUCAGGAAAGGCAGACUGAAGCCCGGCCUCUACGACGGCUUCGUCAGGAUCGCAUGCCUUGAGCACCGCCGCGGUGGAGGCGAGACGUGCGUGGCGGCCCAACCCAGCACGCAUGGGUGUGUCAGCAACUCUCAUCCCAUGAACCCUCAACGUCGUCGCGAUGGACGUGCCAAUCCGCUCAUGCGCGUCGUCCAGGUUGUGGAUGAAGGCCGGGUAGCAGGUGACCAUCUGGAAGCACCAGAGCUCAUGGGAAAAGUCUGGAAGACCGAUGGUGUGGUGCAGGGCACAGUUGGAGCCGUAGUCAUCGGAGCUAGGCCCACCCACGAUGUAGACCACGAGGAGGUUGGGUAUGGAGUAGGUGUGAAUCAUCUAGGCCCCUUAGUGAUGUUUUGGUAAUUAAUGAUAACUAUUUGUGGACUAAUAGUUCUUAGAGAAAUAAGAAUGCAGGUUGGACCACAGAGAACAGAAAAUCUUGGAGACUUAUAAGUAUUGGUUGUGGAUCAAGUGAAGACAAAGGUAUAACAUAGGUUUUUGUUUUUGCCGGUCUCUAGGAGUUUAGAGAAGACAUUUGACCGGAUUAGUAGGCUAGAUGGCCGUACUAUUAAGAGGGGUCAAUGACUUUGGUCUGUGUAAAACUUAGUCUAACAACACUUCCGGUUUCGAGAGUUAAAAAAUCUUUUCGAAAGCAUGUUUGAAAAGUUGCUAAGUCAUGGGGUUGGCGGACCGUCCGGGCCAAGUGGCCGGGCCGUCCGCGGUCUAUCCAGAGGGGUCCGAAGUAUGUUCACUUCGGACUGGUCCUGUAUGUUUGUACUACGGACCGUCCGGGCCUUGGGGCCGGACCGUCCGUAGUCCUGACCAAAGAGGGUCGCCCUCUGCACAGUCCCUGUAUAAUUGUACGGACUGUCUGGCCGGGGUCGGCGGACCGUCCGCAGGUGCCAAAUUUGUUUGGCAGGGACUGUGUGUUUUUGGGCACUUGUACUACGGACUGUCCGGGGUCUGAGCCCGGACAGUACUAACUCCCAGGUCGUGGACCGUCCAACCUUGUAUGGCGGAUAGUCCGCGUGUGUUAUCUCAUCGUGGUCAGAGCUCUGGUGCUCCAUGUUGCGAGGUUUCGAAUGGUCCGACCAAGGUUGGCAGACUGUCCGAACUUCGCUUUUUCUGACAGCUCUGACAUAUUUCAAACUGGAAAUCUAGCUGUUACUUGUACGGCGGACCGUUCGGCCUAAGGGCGCGGACCGUCCGCGUGUGCGCAAAAGUUGUGCUAGUUGCACAUAACGGUUAGAAAUGUGAAGUGGGCUAUAAAUAGAAGGGGAGCUCGUGUGUGAGGCUUCUCUUGGCCAUUCCUUGCACACUUUGAGCUCAUUUGUGAUCCUCCCACUCAUUCUCUCACACUCCUUGCUUGAGAUUGCAUUCUAGUGAGAGAUUGAGAGCUCCUAGUGCAUUUGCAUCCAUUGGUGAUUCUUGAGGCACUAGGUGGUACACUGGGCAAGUGUCAUCGGCUUGUUAUUCUUGGAGGUUGCCGCCUUCUAGACGGCUCGGGUGUUGUCUCCGUCGAGCUCUCCAAGAAAAUUGUGGAGGAGCCGCGGUGUCGAUUGUGAGGGGUUCGCGCCUACCUCGUCGGAGCGGCAAAGGCGACACUAGUGGAAACGAGGUAUUGAGAGAUUUCUUGUCCACUUGGCUCAAAGAUCAAGCCACAUCUUGAUAAAGGAGCAAGUGAGAGCUUGAAGUCCACCUCAACGUGGAUUAGGAGUGAUCGGCAAAUCACCGAUACCACGGGAUAAAAUCCGGUGUCUUUCUCUUCUCGCAUUACUUAUUACUGUGCAAGUAAUUAGUAUUUCGUGUAUUGUCUCUCUUGUAUACAAUUACCAUAGUUGUUUCUCAUAGAUUGCUUACUUGUUGUCACUAGAAAAUUUAUACCUCUUAUCAUAUUGAUUAAAUUUCUCUAGUGUUUUUGAUUUUAGUCAAAACUGUCUAUUCACCCCCCUCUAGCCGGUGUCCUAGAUCCUACAAGUGGUAUCAGAGCCAAGGACUCCAUUGUUUGUGGAUCUAAUCAUUCCGAAGUUGGACAAAAUGGCUAGUAACAACAAUGUGCACAUUGGGAAGCCACCACAUUUUGAUGGGAAUAACUAUGACUAUUGGAAAAUAAGAAUGCCAAUGCAUCUUAUAGCAAUGGGUGGAAAAAUUUGGCAAGUUGUCAAGGAUGGGUUGUUGUGUUGAAACAAGAUGAACCAUCGGCUAGUGACAAUGAAAACAUUCUUACAAAUGAUCAAGCCAUGAAUGUAUUCUAUGAUGCUCUUGACAUAAAUGAGUUCAAUCGUAUCAAGAAUCUCACAACUGCUCAUGAGAUUUGGACUAAGCUAAUGGAAAUUCAUGAAGGAACUACAAUUGUGAAGAGUGCAAAGCUAUAUGUGUGCAAAGGAAAAUUUGAGCAAUUCAUUAUGAAAGAAGAAAGUGUAUCCAAUAUGUUCAACCGGUUAAAUGAGAUAGUGAAUGAGCUCAAGGGACUUGGUUUUGAUGUACCAGAUGUGGAUUUCACUCAUAAGUUCCGUAGAUCCCUUCCGGAGAAGUAUGAGACUAUUGUGACCAUGCUAGUAAGAAGCGAUUUAUCUACAACUUCUCCAACUGAAGUAUUGGGAGAAAUUCUUACUCAAGAUAUAUUCAAGAAAUCUCAAGCCAAUGCUAUAAGUUUGGCAAAGAAAGUGAAGAAUGAAUCAAUCGCUCUCAAAGCUAAAGCUUCUAAGGCAAUUGAAAAAGAAGAUAGUGAUGAUGAAGAAAAUGAAAGCGAAAGUGAUGGAGAUAUGGCUCUAUUUGUAAAGAAAUUCAACAAAUUCAUGAAGAAGAAGAGGGGUCAACCUAGAAGAGACCAAACAUCAAGAAGAAAUGCUUUCAAUGAUAGAAAGUGUUUUGAGUGUGGGGAACCCAAUCACAUCGCCAUGAAUUGCCCUAACAAGAAGAAGAAGGGCAAAUAUGGAGAUGAUAAGAAGAAGAAGAAAUUCUACAACAAGAAGAAAGAUGGCAAAGCCUACCUACUUUAAUGGGAUUCGGAUGCUAGCUCGGAUGAUGAUGAUGACACCUCAUCCAAGCUUAAUGCCGGAAUUGUCAUCAAGGAAGCCCCUUCACUUUUCUCAUCCCCUCAUUGUCUCAUGGCAAAGGGAGAUGCUAAGGUGAACUACAAGGCGAGAGGGAAUCAUUGGGUGUUGGAUAGUGGAUGCACUCAACACAUGACCGGAGAUAUGAAAAUGUUCACCCAAAUGAGUGUGGAAGAUUGCUCAAGUUAUGAUAGUAUCACAUUUGGAGAUAAUCGCAAAGGAAAAGUUAAAUGUUUGGGUAAAAUUGCUAUUUCAAAUGAUUAUUCCAUAUCAAAUGUGCUCUUGGUUGAGUCUUUGAAUUUUAAUUUACUAUCCGUAGCUCAAUUAUGUGAUUUAGGAUUUAGUUGCAAUUUUACCGUUGAUGAUGUUAUUAUCUCUAGUGUUGAUGGUAGCAAUCUUAAGUUUAAAGGCUUUAGAUAUGAAAAAUCUUUAUCUUGUUGAUUUCUCAUCCAAUGAGGCAAAGCUCACAACUUGCUUAUUCUCAAAGGCUUCACUAGGUUGGUUAUGGCAUAGAAGACUUGGUCAUGUUGGAAUGAAGCAACUCAAUCGUUUAACCAAACAUGACUUAGUCCAUGGCUUGAAAGAUGUGAAAUUUGAGAAGAACAAAUUGUGUAGCUCUUGUCAAGCCGGGAAGCAAGUGGAAAAUACUCAUCCAAAUAAGAGUCAAAUGUCUACUCAUCGGCCUUUAGAAUUACUUCACAUGGAUUUAUUUGGACCAACAUCUUUUGUGAGUAUUGGCGGUAAUUCCUAUUGCCUUGUGAUUGUGGAUGAUUAUUCUAGAUUCACUUGGGUUUAUUUUCUUCGAGAUAAAUCUAAUGUGUUUGAAACAUUCAAGUCAUUUGCUAUAUUGGCUCAAAACCAAUUUAAUUUUGAUAUCAAGAAAGUUAGAAGUGAUAAUGGGUCGGAAUUCAAAAAUGCUAGAAUUGAUGAAUUUUCUUCCAAAUAUACUUCGGAACAAAACGGUAUUGUUAAAAGGAAUAAUAGGACUCUCAUUGAUAUGGCUAGGUCUAUGCUAGCGGAAUAUAAUGUGUCAGAUUCUUAUUGGGCCGAAGCCAUAAACACCGCUUGUCACACAUCAAAUAGGCUAUACUGUCACAAGCUCUUGAAGAAAACUCCCUAUGAAAUUGCUCAUUGGUAGAAAGCCAAAUAUCUCAUAUUUUAGAGUAUUCGGUUGCAAAUGCUAUAUUUUGAGAAAGGGAAGCCGACUCUCUAAAUUUGAGAAGAAAUGUGAUGAGGGUUUUCUACUUGGAUAUUCAUCAAAUAGCAAGGCUUAUAGAGUUUUCAACAAGACUCAUGGUAUUAUUGAAGAAGCAUAUGAUGUUGAAUUUGAUGAAACAAAUGGGUCUCAAGAUGAAAACGAUAAUCUUGAUGAUGUUGAUGGAGCUCAAUUGAGAAAUGUUAUGAAAACAAUGGCUAUUGUCGAUAUAAAGCCAAAAAAGAUGAUGUUGAUAAUAGUGUAGUUGUCAUUCCAUCCUCUUCAACCCUAAAUGAAGAAAAUCACCAAAGCCAACAAAAUGAUGAAGUUGUGGAUGCUCAUGAUCAAGAUACUUCAAGUCAUUCGGUCCCUCCUCAUGCUUCAACUAGUAAUUCUCAAAUGGUAUCAAGAAUCCAUCAUUCUAUUGUGAAGGAUCACCCAGUUGAUCAAAUUGUGGGCGACAUUAGUAAGGGUGUUCAAACUCGCUCUCGUAUAGCUUCAUUUUGUGAACACUUCUCUUUUGUAUCUUUUAUGGAACCUAACCGUGUAGAUGAAGCUCUACUUGAUGUUGAUUGGGUGAAUGCAAUGCAUGAGGAAUUAAAUAACUUCACCCGAAAUGAAGUUUGGGAGCUUAUUGAGAGACCAAAGAACCACAAUGUUAUUGGUACCAAAUGGUUGUUUCGCAACAAGCACAAUGAAGAUGGAUUAGUAGUAAGAAACAAGGCAAGAUUAGUGGCACAAGGGUAUACUCAAAUAGAGGGAUUGGAUUUCGGUGAGACAUUUGCUCCCGUGGCAAGAUUGGAAGCAAUCUGGAUCCUUCUUGCUUAUGCUUGUGCUCAUAAUAUCAAGAUCUACCAAAUGGAUGUAAAGAGUGCCUUUCUAAACGGUAAGAUUAGUGAACUAGUGUAUGUUGAACAAUCUCUCGGUUUUGAGGACCCCAAAAGACCUAACCAUGUGUACAAGCUUUCUAAAGCUCUCUAUGGGCUUAAGCAAGCCCCACGCGCUUGGUAUGAAAGGCUUAGGGGUUUCUUGCUUUCCAAAGACUUUAAAAUUGGGAAGGUUGACACUACUCUAUUCACUAAAAGAGUUGGGAAAGAUUUGUUUGUUUGUCAAAUUUAUGUUGAUGAUAUUAUUUUUGGAUCCACUAAUGAGUUGUUUUGUGAGGAGUUUGGAAAAAUGAUGUCAAUGGAAUUUGAAAUGUCUAUGAUAGGAGAAUUGAGCUUCUUUCUCGGUCUUCAAAUCAAACAAUUGAAGGAUGGAAUCUUUGUAAGUCAAUCAAAAUAUCUGAAGGAUAUGCUCAAGAAGUUUGACUUAGAAAAUGCAAAGCCUAUCAAGACUCCUAUGGCAACAAAUGGUCAUCUAGACUUAGAUGAGGGAGGUACAAUGGUUGAUCUAAAACUUUUUCGCUCAAUAAUUGGUAGCUUGCUUUACAUUACCGCAUCUAAGCCCGAUGUUAUGUUUAGUGUUUGCAUGUGUGCUCGAUUUCAAGCUUCACCUAGAGAGAUUCACUUGAAAGCCGCAAAAAGAAUUCUAAGAUAUUUGAAGUAUACCCCCAAUAUUGGUCAAUAGUAUCCCAAAGGUGCUCAAUUUGAAUUGAUUGGAUAUUUGGAUUCGGACUAUGUGGGUUGCAAAGUUGAUAGGAAGAGCACCUCCGGUUGUUGUCAAUUUCUUGGGAGGUCUCUUGUUUCAUGGUCUUCUAAGAAGCAAAAUUUCGUUGCUCUCUCUACCGCCGAGGCAGAAUAUAUAUCGACCGAUAAUUGUUGUGCUCAAAUAUUAUGGAUGAAACAUACUCUAUUGGUUAUGGGAUCACUUUCAAGAAUGUGCCUCUCAUGUGUGAUAAUGAGAGUGCGGUAAAAUUGGCUACAAAUCCGGUCCAACACUCAAGAACGAAGCAUAUUGAUAUACGUCAUCACUUCUUGAGAGAUCAUGUUGGAAAGGGAGAUAUCUCUAUAUAUUCGAUUGGCAUGGAUGAUCAAUUGGCCGAUAUAUUUAUAAAGCCAUUAGAUGAAACGAGGUUUUGCAAAUUAAGAAGUGAAAUGAAUGUGAUAGAUCUCUCAAACAUGGCUUGAGGUUGAAUACACAUGUGUAGUAUUGCAUUUAGAUUCCAAAUGUGCUCUCUAGGCUAUUUAUUGGAUAUUUUUGAUGAUUUUUUGAUUCUUGUUUGAUCUAAAUAGUUUUAUAUGAAAAUUUGUGUUACUCAAGUACAUAAUGUGUAUAUGCAUGCAUACUAACCCUUGGAUUGGUCAAAAUGUCCAUAUUUGAGCGAUAAACCAAAUUUAAAAUUCAAAAUCAGAAAGUGGACAAAGUUUGGAUAUUUGAGUAUCAGGUCACGGACUGUCCGGGUAAUGACCGCGAACCGUCCGACGUAUCAGGUUCUGGACAGUCCGAGUCAGCAGAGCAGAUUGUCUGAAUUGACAGGGCGCGGACCGUCUGUAGACCCCACGCGGACCGUCUGUGAUAGGCAGAUAAAUCGGGCAGAGGCAGUCAGAUUGUCACUUUCAACACUUGUCUCUUUCUCUCUCACACUCCACACGCCAAAGGUGAUUCUUGUCGUUUGUGAGCGGACGGUGAACCAAAAUUGCGCACGGACUGUCCGGGAGAUUGUUUGGAGUUCAUCAACCAUGUCUUCAUCUCGGUAUUUCAAAAUCUCAUGGAAUUUGUCUGAUUUAUUCAAAUUUGGGGUUUCAUAGGGUUUUCUCUCUGAUCUAGAAUUAGGCAGUGGAAAUACAAUUUUGAUUGGUGGAAUUGCUCGUGUUACUCAUUGUGAAUAUGGUGCAAAAAUUUGAAUGGAUUUGGAUGGUUAUUUUCUGUCAAAUCGAUGAUUAGAUGGAUGGGGCGACUAGGGUUCUAGAAAUCGCCUCUGGACGGUCGCGGACCGUCCGCCAGGAUGGCGUGGACAGUCCGGCCCCCUAGCGCAGACAGUCCGGUCGCUGACAGAAACUUACACUUUCUUUCUCUAUGUUGUGACAUCAUCAACUAUUAACCAGUGGAUAUUACUCAUAUAUAUUGCAGUGGUCUGGGUGAUCUUAAGAAGAAGCUUGCAGGUCGUUUUCAGUCAAAGCGCCGUCGUGCAGAUGAUGCAGAUUAUAAUCCAGCUACAGACUCUGAGGCCCAAUCAUCAGCUGGGGGCAGCAUUUCUAUGGACAUAGAGGAUGCUCCACACGCUCAUCCAGAUUAUCCAAUUGAUGUCACAGGAUGGACCUAUCCCAAGAGAAGAUUCUCUAUGGCUAAGUACUGCUCCAGGAGGACAGUUAAUCAGUAUGAUCUGCCCUCUGACACAAACAUUCAGUUUUUCAUACUCAGCUUCAGUUUGAUGUCUUCUGGGGAACCCUAAUGGACACAAACUUUCACAAGCAUCAAGUUAUUGAUUGGAAAUUUAUGUUGGGCCAGUCAGUCAUGGAGGGAUUGAUUCCAAAGUUCGAGGCAUGUGGUCUCUAUGACUUUAUGGGCCAGAAGACAGACUUCAGUGAGAUGGAUGUGAAACAGUUCCGGGCAACUGCUGAGAUUGACAUUGAUGAGCAAUCAAUCACUUGGAUGACUGGCUUUAAGAGGUAUUCUGCAACCUUUGCUAAGUUUGCUAUUGCAAACAGUUUGGACUAUGAUAUAAUCUCAGCUGGGAUUGAUUUGUAUACUGAGGACAACUUUGAAGAAUGUGAGCAGUUCUAUGAGCCAGUGAGGCUGGGAAUUCCUAGGAGGUUUGGUGAGACUUCAGGACUGAGGCAUCAUCCUGUUGUCAUUAACAAGAUUGCCAGAGUAACUAUUGUCCCAAAGAGUGGAGAUAAGAGCAAGAUCAGAGAUAAGUUCUGGAACAUCAUCCACCAUAUCAUGAAUGGUGAGGUGAUGAAUGUGGUGCUAUUUAUGAUGAGGCAAUUGAAUGACCUCAAGAUGGACAAGAACCAGAACUUGGCAUAUGCUCCAUACAUCAUGGCUCUCAUCAAGGCUAAGACCAAAUUUGAGGGGUUGUUGGGACCAUGCUUCAUCGCCGAAGGUCCUGCAGAAAGAAAUAGCCUCGGCUAAAGCUGCUCGUACGUGAUGCCGAAGGUGCCAUUUCGUGAAGCUUCAGAAUUACAAACCGACUUAAAGAUAGAAUGACCUUUUAGUCCAUAAGAGUCCGAGUCAUUGUUGUAAACUUUUAUGAGGGGUACGAUUGUAAUUCCUCACGGGCUGUGUCCUGUGCCUAUAAAUAGUGAACAGUAUUCCUUUACUGUUCACGCAUUCCAGAAAUUGCAAUUGCAUCACUCGGAAAUUAUUCUUUGUCAAGGCAGAGGUAAAAUGUGUCUAAAUAUUAUAUUUGAACAUCUUAAAUUCAUAUAUAAUAAAUAAAUAAUGUUAUUUAUUUCCAAUUCACUUGUUUUUAGUGUUUGAUGACUUACAUUAUUUCACAUUAUCUUUGUGAUUUCGACUAUGAAGGUAUAACCUUCGUAGUUCUGCCAUUAUAACCUUCGUCCGAAGCAUAUCCUUGGGGAAAUAAUGCUUCAGAGGACGAAGGGCAUUGAUAUUUAACAUUUUAUGUUGUCUUGUUCUUAAUUCAUAGCAUUUGAGAACAAGUCCCCAACAUUGGCGCCCACCUCCGGUGAACUCACUUCCACUUUUUUGAGCUGAUGGCUUCGCUCAACGACCAAGCUGGAGCUGCUUCGGCUCCGAAGCUGGUACUCCCGAUAACAGGCGGUUCAUGCUCAGAGCCAGCCAACAAGAAGCAGAAAAAGGAAGCACAAAGAAGGGUACAGCAUGUCGGAGUGCAAGGACCCUUCAUCAAGUCAAGAUGGUCACACAUUCCAAUUACCUUCUCCCAAGAGGAUCUUCAACUCAAGGAUUACCCACACAACAAUGCUAUGGUUAUCUCUUGUGUGAUCAAAGGAUUUCUGGUCCAUAAUGUUUUGGUUGAUACAGGCAGCGCAGCUGAUAUCAUAUUUGCUAAAGCCUUCAGACAGAUGCAAGAGCCUGAAGAUAAAAAUUCAUGAUGCCACACAUCCCCUCUACGGCUUCGGAGGAAGGCAGAUUGUAGCACUCGGCAAAAUCACAAUGCCAGUGACCUUCGGGUUUAUCAACAACACAAGGACUGAACAAGUUGUGUUUGAUAUUGUUGACAUGGAAUACCCUUACAAUGCAAUCAUUGGCCGUGGCACUCUCAAUGCCUUCGAAGCAAUUCUUCACCCAGCUUAUCUUUGCAUGAAGAUACCUUCGGACCAAGGGCCCAUUGCUAUUCAUGGAAGUCAGGAAGCUGCCAGAAGGGCCGAAGGAAAUUGGACAGACUCAAAAGCAAUCCAUAACAUAGAUGGAGCUGAAGCUUGUGAGCAAUACAAGUUCAGAAGAGAAAAAGCUGCUUCGGCUGAUCAGCCGAAGCCCAUGCUCUUAUGUGAGGACAUAGCAGAGCAGAAGGUCCUAUUGGGAUCUCAACUGUCCGAAGAGCAGGAGAAAACCUUGAUAAGGUUUUUAUUCAACAACAAAGAUGUUUUUGCUUGGUCAGCUAAUGAUCUUUGCGGAGUAAACAGGGAUGUUAUUGAGCACUCGCUCAAUGUUGAUCCAUCCUUCAGACCAAGAAAGCAAAGGCUUCGGAAGAUGUCUGAUGACAAAGCCGAAGGUGCUCGCAACGAAGUGAAAAGACUCCUCAAUGCUGGAGUUAUCAGAGAGGUAAAAUAUCCAGAAUGGUUGGCUAACACUGUUAUGGUAAAGAAGGCCAAUGGUAAAUGGAGAAUGUGCAUCGAUUUUACUGAUCUCAGUAAGGCCUGUCCGAAGGACAAGUUUCCAUUGCCAAGGAUAGAUUCCUUAGUCGAUGCAGCAGCUUCAUCAGAGCUUAUGAGUCUGCUGGAUUGCUAUUCAGGUUAUCACCAAAUCUGGAUGAGGAAGGAGGAUGAACCGAAAACCAGCUUCAUAACCCCCAGUGGAACAUAUUGUUACCUUCGGAUGCCUGAGGGGCUCAAGAAUGCCGGAGGAAGUUUCAGCAGAAUGACAGCAAAGGUCCUCCAUUCUCAGAUAGGCAGGAAUGUGCUAACUUAUGUUGAUGAUAUCAUUGUAAAAAGCACGAAGCAAGAUAACCACAUUGCUGAUCUGCAGGAGACCUUCGCUAAUUUUAGACAGGCUGGCUUAAAGCUGAAUCUAGAAAAAUGUGUCUUCGGAGUAAAGAAGGGGAAAUUUCUUGGUUGUUUAGUUUCAACAAAAGGAAUUGAGGCCAAUCCAAGCAAAAUCGAAGCUAUACUUCGAAUGGAACCACCAAGUACAAAGAAGGGGCUCAAAGAUUGACAGGAAGGCUGGCAUCUCUCAACAGAUUCAUAUCUAGAUCAGCAGAGAGAAAUUUACCAUUUUUCGAAGUAUUGAAGUCAGCCGAAGUUUUUCAAUGGGGACCAGUCCAGCAGAAAGCCUUCGAAGAACUGAAGCAAUACUUGAUAGAUCUAACAACACUAACUCCACCAACGCCAGAGGCUCCUUUGUUAUUAUAUGUGGCAGCUUCGCACUCAGCGGUAAGUGCAACACUUGUCCAGGAGAAGCUUGAAGGCCAAGCUAAGAAAUAGACCCCAAUAUAUUUUGUAUCCGAAGUUCUUAGUUUAUCAAAUAAAAAUUAUACAGAAUUGGAGAAAGUACUGUAUGCUGUUUUGAUGGCCUCCAGGAAGCUUCGGCAUUAUUUUCAAGCUUACAAUAUAAUUGUUCCUUCUUCACAACCUUUGAAGGAUAUUAUGAGAAACCGAGAAGCUACUGGAAGGAUUGGAAAAUGGGCCGCAGAGCUCAAUGAAUUUUGUAUUGAUUAUGUUCACAGAUCUUCAAUUCAGUCUCAAGCGUUGGCAGACUUCAUUGCUGACUGGACGCCAGGGGCUCAGGAGGAGGAAAUGAAUAAAGAUGCCGAGGCAUGGACAGUGUUUUGCGAUGGGUCUUGGGGAACCUUCGGAGCAGGAGCAGCUGCUGUGCUGGUUUCACCUUCCAAAGUUAAAACUUGUUAUGCGGCGAGACUUGAUUUCAGUUGUACAAACAAUAUUGCUGAAUACGAAGCUCUGCUUUUGGGUCUUCGGAAGUUAAAAACAAUGGGGAUCAGAAGGGCCAUUCUUAAAACUGAUUCCCAAGUUAUUUCUGGUCAUAUUGACAAGAGCUAUAAAGCAAGAGACCCGAAGCUUGAAAAGUAUUUAGAUACAGUCCGAAGGAUUGAGGCUUCCUUCGAAGGAUUCUCUGUCAAAAAUAUUCCUCGUGGAGAAAAUGAAUACACUGAUCUAAUGGCUAAGUCAGCAGCACAGGGGCUGCCUUUACCUUCAGAAGUAUUUUUCGAAACAAUAAAAGCACCUUCGGUCGAGCUUCUUGAAAGAGCGGUCCUUAACAUAUCCCAUGUCUAUAGUGAAGAUUGGAGAACUGAAAUCAUUUCUUUCCUUCAGGGUAAUUUUCUUUCAGAUGAUGAAGCUUAUAACAGGAGAAUAGAAGCAAGAGCUCGACCAUAUGUCAUAAUAGAAGGGGAGCUAUACAAGCGAGGGGUCUGUUCCCCGUUGCUCAAGUGUUUAUCCAGAUCCGAAGGCAUAGAAUUGAUGAAGGAAAUACACGCAGGCCUGUGUGGAUCUCACAUUGGAUCUAGGCCUUUGCUUGGGAAAGUUUUUCGUCAAGGAUUUUAUUGGCCAAAGGCAGCUUCGGAUGCAGCGGAUUUAGUCCAAAGGUGCGAAGGUUGUCAGAAAUGUGCAAGAGAUAAAAAACAACCUUCAUCUUUAACUCAAUUAAUACAACCCACUUGGCCGUUGCAAAGGUGGGGCCUUGAUUUGCUAGGCCCAUUAUCACCAGCACAGGGGAACUUAAGAUAUGUGGUAGUGGCAGUGGAAUAUUUUUCCAAGUGGAUUGAGGCAAAGCCCUUAGCCACAAUAACUUCAUUUACUAUUCAAAAGUUUUUCUGGCAAAACAUUGUUUGUCGCUUCGGAGUGCCGAAGGCCAUUACUGUGGACAAUGGGACACAGUUUGAUUCUGAAGCCUUCAGAGAAUUUUGUGAUCAAAUUGGCACGAAAAUCCAUUUUGCAUCAGUCCGACAUCCAGAGUCAAAUGGACUUGUCGAAAGAGCUAAUGGGAUCAUAAUGACAGGAAUAAUGAAGUCAAUCUUCAAUCAGCCCAGGGGAAAGUGGCCAAACGAGUUAAUCAAAGUGGUAUGGAGCCAUAACACAACCAUGUCAAGAUCAACAGGUUUUACGCCCUUCAAACUAUUGUUUGGUGACAAAGCAAUAACCCCAGAGGAGGCCAAAGCAGGAUCAAUAAGAACAGUAGCUUCGGCAGAAGGCGAGGACGAAGCUGAUUGCUCUGUAGAAAAAGAUGCUAUAGAAGGGUUCAGACUUCAAGCUGUGGAAAACAUCAAUAAAUAUCAAGCUGAAACAAUAAAAUGGCGUGACAGAAAGGUCAAGCUGAAAAACAUUGAACCAGGACAUUUGGUACUUCGAAGAGUAGCCAACCCUGAAACAGUAGGCAAAUUACAGCUGAAGUGGGAAGACCCCUUUUUGGUAGUAUCUUCGUCAAGACCCGGUUCCUACAGAUUGAAGGAUAUGGAUGGCAACGACAUCCCUAGAUCAUGGAAUGCGGAUGAGCUUCGACGAUAUUAUGUUUAGCUUGAUGUAAUUUUUUCUAUUUUUUUUGUGGCACCCUUUUCCUUUCCAAAGGGGGAGAAAGGUUUUUAAUGGGGCCACAACAUGUAAUUUUCCUUAUUUCAAUUCUAUAAGAGUGAUAUCCCCCAAAAAUGUAAAUGUAAAUGCAAAGGAAAAAAGAAAAAUGAAACAGGGAGAAGCUCAAAAGUCGUUCCUAACGGAAUGCAGAGCUUAUAGCGAAAAAUAAACGCUGAUUCCGCCGAAAGUAAAAGGCGAAGAAGCUCCUAAGGGAGGCUUACAGCGAAAAAUAAACGCUGAUUCCGCCGAAAGUAAAAGGCGAAGAAGCUCCUAAGGGAGGCUUACAACGAAAAGUCAAUGCUGAUACACCGAAAAAUGAACGGUGAAGCCGAAAAGUAAACGACAAAAAAAUUUGAAUCAUUCCUAAGGGGAUGAAGGGCUGUGAUUAUGGUUUUUAAACAUGUGUCCCAAUAUUCAUUUGCACAAAACAUUUCAUCAUGUCAUUUGCAUUCAUAAACAUUCAUUUAGACAUAUGUAGAAUCAUCAUCAUACCACACAAACAAGACAGGUGCUUCAGCAAUGAGGAAAAACUUCGAAGGAAAAAUUUUUAUGCUUCGUUGUGAACGAAAAGAAGGGAAGGUGUUUUUCGCCUUCGGCUCAAAAGAGAAGUUUCGUCCACAGCAAAGCAGAUUGUACACAGAUAGCAGAAACAAAAUAUAUUACAAGGUAUGUACAAAUUUACAUGAGUUGUUUCAUAACUAUAUUACAAAAGUUUCUCUAGAAUUUUUGCAGGAAAAUAUAUUGUAAGCAACUAUCAAACUUCAGGCUAGGCUUCGUCAAACUUUAGCUUCGUCAUUCUUCAGCUUCGUCAUCCUGCGUACAUCAAACAGCAGAAUAAGGUGCAAAUUCAAGGAGAAAGUAAAAAUAACAAAUAUAAGUUUCUUACCGGCUUAAGAUGACUUCGAGCUUCGUCACCUGCCAUUUUUCGCCCGCCACUUACCCAGAUCUGGGUCAUGAAUCUAUUUCCAAUGCUUCGGGCCAGGCUUUGGAUAUCUAUCAGAUCUGAUGCUGAUAAGCUGAAGUUUGGUCUAUUCACAAUAUUUCCAUGCGUACAGCCAGCCUUCAGAAAAGCGGUAGCUGUGCCCCGAGAAGCUACCAGGGCGCAGAAGUCGGCAUGCCCACCAAUAACUUCGUCAAGGGCAUCAACCUCGCCUUCAAUAUAUUCUAAUGUGCUGGGCAGAUUUUCAGCUGAAGGUGUAAAUUUUGCAGAGCUGGCUCCGACAGAAUGAAACACAUCCUUCAGCCGCUGCACGCAUCGGCUGCCGAAGCUUAGGCAUUUCCCUUGAAGUUCCUUCAAGGAUUUUUGCAAAUUUGAAUUUUUGUCCAUUUCAGUUUUAAGGCUUGCUUCAAGGUGUUUCUUUUCUUGCUCAAAUUUUUCUGAUUGUUUCAGCAAUUCAGUCGUUAAGCUGUCGUUCUCUGCUUGUACUCCAGCCAAGGAACCUUCUAUAGACUGGAUAACAAAGUCUUUCUUUUCUAAUGCACCUUCGUGCUCUUUAACCAUGAUUUCAAGGUCUUGGAUGGUGAAGUCCUUCUUUUUCAGAUCAGCUUCGUAAUUUUCAACUUUUUCAGCCAAACCUUGGAUGAUGGCUUUGUUCUUCUCGUCUUCGAGAUCUUGUUGCAUUUUUAGAACCUUACUUAACAAUAUGCUCUGUCAAAACAAUCUUCGUUAAAAAACGACCUAAAUAAUAAUAAUAAUAAUAAUAAAAUAGCAAUAAUAUUUGUUACCUUAAAAUUAGCAUAAAGUAAGCUUCUGGCGAUAUGGUGUCGUUGGUAGCGGCAGAGGUCUGCUUCUAGCUUCGGCAGGCCAAUGUUUUUGGAGAGGGUUCUAACAAUUUUAGCUUCGCUGCGGUUUCGAAGACAUCUCAGCUUUCCUUCGUUAACCCCACCAAACAGUGUAGCCCCUGGCUUAUAUCCACAGGAUAUGGUAUAUUUUUUAAGCUCUUCUUUUUCAGCAUCUGUCAAUUCUUGCCCAAGUAAAUCUUGAAAGUUAAAAUCUUUCUCUUCCAAAAUCUCUUCAACUUGUUUUUUCCCCUUUUCAAUAACUGUGCUCGUUGUAGCCACAGUAGCUUCUUCCUCAGCCAUUUUCAGGAGUAUAUUAUCAAUAACUUCAAGUGUGUCUUCCAGGUUCAGAUCUUCUGUGGCCCCGGUUUCGGCCCCGGUAGCUUUGGCUGCGCCGGUUUCAGUUUCAGGGGUUUCCACUCUGGUGGCUUCGGCUGCGGCGUCUUUUGCUUCGGCGGUCUCGACAAAAGCAACUUUUGACACUGUCGCCGGUGACGGCGUCUGAUGAAUCACAUCUGCUAUCUGAAUAAUUCUUCGUUUUUUCCGUAGUGCAGGGCCUUCUUCUGUCGAAGCUGCUUUGUCCUUCUGAAAAAACUUCGUCAGUUCCGGCGCCAGCGGACUUAGCUUGACAGGCAAGGGUUCAGUCAUUACCUUCAUAAUCUCUUCUACAUCGGCAGAAGAAGGCGUUGUAUGAGUAUCUUCUUCUCGAACCAACGUUUUUGGUUCUGGAGAUGCAGUUUUUCUCUUUCUUGCAGCAGCCACCUUCGGCUCAGGGCUCAGCUUUUCAGGACUCAGUUUUUCAGAAAUCUCAUUUUUCUUUUUGGACACUUUGGUGCUCUCUUUGACAACAGCACUGGCAAUUCUUUUUCUCUUCGGGCCGCCAGCAUCUCCGCCCAAUCGCCCAUAGUCAGGAUAUUCGAAGCCUAUAGCAUCAAGUACUCUGUUUAGCCUUCGUUUCGGCCGGGUGCCGAAGGCUGCUGUCAUCAAUUGGUCCUCCUUUUUAGAGUAAUUUCCAAGAAUUUCAGUACUCAUUAUUUCGAUUGUAUCGAGCCAUUCUUGGCAAGGAGCCUUAAAAUAUUUCUUGAACUUAUAAUGGUAGGGUAGCCGGACAAGCUCCCCUUCUUUUUUCUCCCCUGUAAGCUUCGGCAUAGUCCACUCCUUCAUAGUUGGAAAUACUCUGAAGGCAAGAAAUUCCUGCACUAAAUCCCUAGUGCCAAUGUGCUCUGCAAUAAUUCUGAAUUCAGCCAACGCUUUUUGGGUUGGACCUUCUGGUGUCAUAUUGCAUUGAGGUCGGGUUUCUCCGAAGAUUAGUUCAAGCGGACUCUGCACAAGCUUCUCCUUGUCGUCAUCAACCUUGACGUAGAACCAUUCCGAUUUCCAGCCUGCCGGCCACUUGCUUCAAUAGCUGAUGACAUGAAAUUUCGUGGUUUUUCGAUAUGCAAAGUUGUAACAACCAAAAUUUUCAUGUAGCCCAUCCUUUCUGGCCUUUGUUUGGUAGUGUAGCUCGUGUACUCGGCAGAAACCUUCGGCAAAUGGCUCCAUUGAUUGGCUUCGGAGAGCCCAAAUAUAAACACUAAGCCUAACAAUGGCGUUAGGAGUCAGUUGGUGGAAAUAAAUCCCAAACUUUUGAAGCACAUCAGAAAUCAUCCUAUUCAAAGGAAAUCUCAAGCCAGCUUUAAGAAAACUCUUGAAAAUCACUAUUGCAUCCUUCUCUGGCUUCGAGGUAGUUUCCUCUCAACCGAAGCGAAUCAGUUUUUUCUCAUCUUCGCUGAAGUAGCCCGAUUUCACCAUCUUGGGAAGAUCAGCCUUGGAGAUAGUUGACUUCCCAAAUUCCAGAUGGCUAGGCUUGCUCGGUACUGAGAUAUUGUAAUCAUCGUCAGAGUCAGCCUCCUCAAUAUCUCCUUGUUCUGCUUCGGCAGCGGCUUGUUCUGCUUCGGCAGCGGGAACUUCUUCUGAUGUCACCAAUCCAGAUCGUUGCAUUGCUUCCGAGAUAGGAACAAUCUCUGCACCUUCGGCUUCCUCUCCCUCACGCUCAACUCUAGCAGUAGAGCGCACUCUGGCCAUUUAAUUUUGAAUUUCUUGAAAAAUUUCUUGGAAAAUAAUAGUCUUCUCUUCCGAAGCUAUUCUUCUGACGAAGCAAAUUCUAAAUUGAAGCUUCGUUUGAAUGCGAAAGUUAAGCUUCGGCUAUGGUCAAAAAUUUUGGCAGCAAAACAGUACAAUAGCAAUGAAUGCUGUGGUAACUUCACACCUACCCGUAUGUUUAUAUAGUGUUACAGGUAAGAAGGUGAAUCGUCAGGAUUUUUACACCAGGCAAACAGUUGCUCGCACCCGCUGAACGGUGGGCCGCAAGAACCAGAACAGUAAAUCUGCAUGGUGGGACCGCUGCACGCUUGAAAGCUGUAUCGUUUCUCGACAACGAGCUCAGGGAAGGUGUUUUUCGGACCUUCGGCUUCCUGAAGCCUAAGAGACUUUUUUCACGGAUCAAGCUCGUUACGAAAAACGAUCUAGCACCACGAAGGGGCUACUGUUGGGACCAUGCUUCGUCGCCGAAGGUCCUGCAGAAAGAAACAGCCUCGGCUGAAGCUGCUCGUACGUGAUGCCAAAGGUGCCAUUUCGUGAAGCUUCGGAAUUACAAACCGACUUAAAGAUAGAAUGACCUUUUAGUCCAUAAGAGUCCGAGUCAUUGUUGUAAACUUUUAUGCGGGGUACGAUUGUAAUUCCUCACGGGCUGUGUCCUGUGCCUAUAAAUAGUGAACAAUAUUCCUUUACUGUUCACACAUUCCGGAAAUUGCAAUUGCAUCACUCGGAAAUUAUUCUUUGUCAAGGCAGAGGUAAAAUGUGUCUAAAUAUUAUAUUUGAACAUCUUAAAUUCAUAUAUAAUAAAUAAAUAAUGUUAUUUAUUUCCAAUUCACUUGUUUUUAGUGUUUGAUGACUUACAUUAUUUCACAUUAUCUUUGUGAUUUCGACUAUGAAGGUAUAACCUUCGUAGUUCUGCCAUUAUAACCUUCGUCCGAAGCAUAUCCUUGGGGAAAUAAUGCUUCAGAGGACGAAGGGCAUUGAUAUUUAACAUUUUAUGUUGUCUUGUUCUUAAUUCAUAGCAAUUGAGAACAAGUCCCCAACAGGGGCGCUGUGAGAUAGCUCACACUCUAUUUAGGUCUUUCAAGAAUGAGAUUGGAUUCCUCACCAGGCCUCUUGCUCCUUUCCCAGUUGAUGAGGAAGAAGUUGGAGAUGAUGAAGUUGCUCCUGAGGCUGAUGCAGCUGAGUAGAUGCCUCCUCCACAGUCUGAUCAGUUCUGGCAGCCUGGUCCAGGCUAUUUUGAUCCUUACUUCCAGCACAUGCAGCAAGGGCUCCAGACACAUAUGGAUGGCCGAUUUUAGGGUAUGUUGACCCAUAUGGACCAGCGCAUGGAUGCCAUGCAGACUCACUUUGAUGAUAACUUUGAUGGGCUGCACUCUGAGCUUACUGAGCUUCGCACUCACAUCCAAGACACUGUUCAUGAUCCAAUUAUGACUAGAAUGAACAACAUGCAACAGAGCUUUCAGGAUAAUAUGGGGGCCUUGUCUAGUCAGUUUGACAACCCAUCCACAAAUGAAAGCAUCUAGGAUAUACGUCAGAGGCAACAACAACUCCAUCAUGACUUCGGGCAGUUCUCCUCUGUCUUCGACACUUUCAGCACCCAUUACUACAGCAUGUACCCUCCAUCUAGUGAUCAGUGAGACCCCUCCUUUGUGGCAAUUGAUGCCAAAGGGGGAGUGAAUAAGCUGAAGUUGGGGAUGUCAUAAUCAGGGGGAGCUCAUGUGGACAUUGAGACUUUGCAUAUGCAUGUUUACUAUUUGAACUUUUUGUUUUAUGCAUUUGUUGAACUAUGUCUUGUGUUUGUGGACAAAUGUGUGGUGAUAUUUUGUGGAUUGAACUAUGUCUGUUAAAUCUUAUGUUUCUAUUAGUUCGAAUUAUCCUGUGAAUGGUUGAUCGAGGAGUGAUUAAAUUUGCUGCGCUUAUUUCACAUUAUACUUCUUGUAUGCCUCGAUAACCAUGAUUGUAGGAAGAUCUCCAUCAAAACUCUGAUCGAUUAUGUGUGUCAUAUCUUCAACUAGAAAUAUCAUGCACACAUAUAGGGGGAGCUAUUCCUACACUCUGAGUUUUGUUGAGACUUAUCUAUCUCUCGGAUGGAACUUCAAAUCAAGAUAAGUCUUUUGAAACUCAUCUUUAAAAUCCUUCUUAUACCUAGGGUAUGAGGAAGAUUUGAAAAUCAAAACCUCUCUUGGAUAAAAUGUGUAGUGUUGUCAUCAAUUACCAAAAAGAUUGAGAUUGUGAAUCAUCUAGGCCCCUUAGUGAUGUUUUGGUAAUUAAUGACAACUGUUGGGGACUUGUUCUUAAAUGCUAUGAGUUAAGAGCAAGGCAACACAAAGAAUGUUAAACAUAAAAGUCCUUCGUCCUUCGAAGCAUUAUUUCCCUUGAGAGAUAAUGAUUUUCGGACGAAGGUCACGAAGUACGUACCUUCGUGAAUACAACAUAUAAAUAAUGAAGAAGGAAACAUAUAAAAUAUAAAAGGUAACACCCAACAGUUAUGUAUUGUUAUUAACUCAAUUCUAUUUUAUUAUUAUGGAAAAAUAGAAAUGAGUACAAAUUACAAAUGUACCUUCGGCUUGAAGGAAGGUAAAAGUACAAGCGUGACGCAAAAGCGAAUGCCAAGUCAGCGUGAACAGUAUAGGAGCACUGUUCAUCUAUUUAUAGGCACGAGUUACAGCCCAUGUAAAAUUACAUUCAGGCCCUUUGCAUUUGCUAAUAAUUCUAUAGCAAUUCAUCGAGGUCUAGAUAGCCUUUUCCCUUUUAAGUCAGUUUCCUUUUGAAGCGUCCCGAUCCUUUGGGACUCAAAUGUGAUACAAUUACUAAUCCCAGGAGGCUAGUAAACACAUUCCUUACUUCAAAUAGUACAGAGUUUAGAUAAAGGUUAUUACAAUACCAGGGUACAAGCUCAAGAGAGAGCCAAAAUAAGAAGCGCAGUAGGAAAAUAUACUAGCCCAAGCCACAGGCAGAACUGGGUGCAGACACAGCCCUCUCAAUCAAGCAUAGCAGAAAAGAAGUCAUCGGCUGCUGAAAAACAUAAAUAAAUCUGGGUGAAUACACUAGGUAUUCCGCAAGCCCACCCCGCUCCCGUAGAGAGAAAGAGACCUAUAAUAUACAUGCUUUAUUUGGUGGAGUUGAAGUCACUCUUCAUUUUCUUUAGAGAAAGACAGUUGCUAUAGGUUUUUCCCAAAGACUAUAAAGUAACCAAAAACUCAACCACCACUGAGCUUCCCGCUCCCGUGGCCUUAUUCUCAACACCCACCUACCCACACAUUUCCCUGUUCAUGGAACUCAUAGAAAAAUCUCUAAUUGUCAUACCAUACCAGACUCGUCCAUACCAGUGGACACGGACUAUUCGAAUAGGUUUCAACUCUGCGCAGAGGGGUACACUUUACCCACUAGCCCGGUUUCUGCGAUCUCACCGUCGCGAGACCCGAAUGCCGGAUCUCUUUCCUUCCUCGUAUGUCCUAACCUUAACGGUUAUACCGGAAGGAGUCAGGCCACCACCAUGUCCAAACCGGACAAAACUUUCCCCCUCCUUAUCCUCCCGGUGCUCCCUAGCCUUCAUAACCCUGGGGUUGGACCACACGAGUUCGGAUUGAGUGACUGCCCACACAGUCUCGAGUGGUUGUACUGAUAAGGAGUACAGGUAGUGAAAAUGACAAGUCGGUCCUUAUAUGAGGGGACAAUCCUUCUGCUCACGCCUAAACCAGCUGAGCCAACACCUUAGGCCCUCCCCUAAACCAGGGAGUCCCUGAUCAUCCCACUCCCAAGGUGAUGAGGGUGAGUACCCUUCAUCGCAUAACUUUUGAAAAGAGGCUUUAUUUGAAGAAACACAUUGCCCUUUUUCCAAAUCCACAUUUCGUAUCCAGAAUAUAUAUAUAUCAAUGCGGGCCAUCUCUCACUCACAAUGCAAUUUUCCCACCCCGAAUUCCCGGCCUAGGCAGUGGUAGAGAGAAUAGGAAAUUUAUGCAUCAAGGGAAAGGAUGGACUUGCCUUCGUCGAAGCUUUCCUGGCAUAAAAGAUCUACUUCCGGGAGAUCGGGCUCCGACCCUUCUUCCGGGGCUACGGGUUCUAGAUCCGCCGGUCCCCGCCUCUUCUAUUAAAACAGUCAAUAAACAAUACAUCAACAGUAGUCUACUAAUUGUAGUGUGUCAUUUACCAACAUUAUUAUUACUUAGGACUUUAGAAAUUAUUUGGAUAAUUUUUGGUGCAUAAAAUAUUGAAGAAAACUAAUUAAAUGAGAAAAAGGUGAAGAAAAGAAAAAGAAAAGGGAUUUCUUCUCUGAUGGGCCAGGGGGGGUUCGGCCCAGCCAGGCGCGGAGCAGGCGCGCGCGAGGGCGCCGGCCCAACAGCGGCCCACGGGCGAGGGAGACGGCGCGUGCACGCGGGAGCGACGGCGUCACAGCGGGCCCACUUGCCAGCAAGAGCGGAGGGGGUGGGGUAACGGCGCUACGGUCUAACGGCGCGGGCAAACCGGCCGAGCGGGGGAGAAAAGCCGGCCGCCGGUGGGCUCGAUGGCGAAUUGCCGCCAGUGGCCCGGUUCUUGGUCCACGGGGAGGUGGAUUAGCACGGGCAGGGACUGGCGAUCCAAGGGGUAGGCUUAAUUUGGCUAGAGGGGGCCGAGAGGGGGCUGUCCGCGGGGAUCGCCGCCGGUGGUCUUUGGGUGAGGGACGGGGGCGGGGAAGUGGUGCUUUGCGUUCGCGACAAGGUGGGGAAGCUGCUUGGUUAACUUAAUUGCUUGCUAGACCAACAAAGAGGGAGAGAGAAGAGGGAAAAGAACUCACCGGAGAGGGGGAAGACGGUGGCGCUUCGCGAAUUGCGCUCGGGCGAGGGGAGGAGGGGAGUGGCCGAGGCCGGUGUGGGGAAGGAGGUGCCCGGGGCGACCUUUUUAUAGGCACCCGAGGGGAGGGGAGCGGCGGAGCUCGGCGGGCGUCGGUGAGGUGCACAACGCCGACAUUAAUGCCGCACAGCGGCGCCGAUGAGACUCCACGGCGGGGCGGUACUGGGCAAGGACGUUGGUCAAGCGGUGAGGACGGGGCGGUGCCGAACUCUUCCUGUGCAGCGAGGGGAUGGGCGAGGGGACGGUGAUGGAGGGGACGACAGUGCGUCGUACGCGAGGAAGACGACGCGGCUAACCGGUGGGGCCGGUCUGCCAGUGAGAGGGAGCGCACGAGCGAGAGGGGCUGGCGGGUGGGGCUGGCUUGUCAGCGAGAGCGGGUGAGGGGAGCGCGCGGGCGGCUUCGCGCGUGAGUGGGCCGGCUAAUGGGCCGAGGGGGGGAUGCGCGGGCGCGGGGAGGGGGAAGGCGGCCGCGACAUGGGCCAGAAUUGGCCCAGCAGGGGGGAGAGCUUUUGCUUUUUUUUAAUUUUUAACAACUCAUUUCCAUUUUUGUUUCUUUUCUUUUUGGACAAAUCAUUUAGUGGAUAAUCUAGGUGUUGGAAAAUAAAAUCAAAGUGAGGUGCUUGUGAUCAAACAAAGUGUAUGCAUAUGAUGGGAAAAUCUAAGGGAGUUUUGGAAUAGAAGAUAAAAAGAGGGGAGGGGUAGAUUAGGGUUUCAAACCUGGGUUAGAAUUUUGGGAUGUUACACCUUUUCCCUAUCGUCAUGUCGAAGCUCCCUUGCGCACAGCUUCGACUCUGUUCCAUCCUUCGUUUCCCUUGUGCUUCUUCAUACUAUGAUUUUGACUCAAGUCCGAAGGGUCCAAGUCCGAAGGUACCUGCUCAUGUCUUAUACUCCAAAAACAUUGUUAAAUCACGUUUUUGAGGACCUUCGGAAGCCGAAGGCCCCCAACAGUAGCCCCUCGCAAUAUUAAUUUGUUAGAAUGAUAAAUUCAGAUUGCGAUAUGGACGAAGGCCUUAAGCCGAAGGUCCGAAAAAACACCUUCCCUUUGCUAGAAUAGCAAUAGUCAAUGACAAGCGGGGCCCUGCCACUUGCAACGUAUUGGACGUAUAAAUAAGAGCGCACCGCGAGCACAUUUAGCACGCUUUCUUGCCGUCUGCUCUUGCCUUCCCAAUUUUUAGUUCUUUGCACACCAACGCUUGCCUGGCUUUUUAGAUUUUCUUUAGCUUCGGCUUUAAGAGCACGUUUUCAACAUUUCCAAAGAUGUCUCAAGACAAAAAGCUAUUGCUGAAACGAAGUUGAGCCUUUCUGAGGAGAAGAAUCUUGGCUUUAUUGAAUCGAUAGCAAAGACGAAUACGGAGAAGAUUACUAGGGAGAUUUGAGAAGGUUUAUCUGAAGACACUGGUGAUAGUGACAGUUAUGAUGUGGAAAGUGGCGGAGAAGACUCCGAAGAUCGACCCUGGCGACCAAGUCAUGCAGUUUUUGGAAAAUCAACUAUUAAACAGAGUCAUCUCGAUAAUAUGAGGGGAAGAUAUUUUCGGGACAUGUCUACUGUAAGGGCUGAUGACGGAGAGAGGACUGCGCCUACUCCCGAAGAGAAUGAAGUUGUGAUCUUCCGAAGCUUUUUUAAAGCUGGGCUUCGGUUUCCAUUAAGCAAAUUUGUGGUUGAGGUUUUAAAGAUCUAUCAAGUCUACCUUCAUCAAAUUACACCCGAAGCAAUCAUAAGAAUGGGAAUCUUCGUCUGGGCUGUGAGGAGCCAGGGCUUGGAGCCAAAUGCAAAAAGCUUUUGCAAUAUGCAUGAAUUGUUAUAUGAGACGAAACCCUGGGGCAAAGAGCAAUAUCAUAACAAUUUUGGCUGUUAUAGUUUCGUCGCUCGCUCUGGCUCGAGCUGUCCCGUGCCAACCUUCCGGAAAAGAUGGCCUGGGGACUGGAUGAAGGAAUGGUUUUACAUGAAAAAUGAUUUAAAGGCACGAGAAGACAUCAAAGAUAUUAUCAUGCGUCCUAUCUGGCAGCGCUUCGGCCUUAGGAAGCCGAAGGUGGAAAUUGAUGAUGCAGCCGAAGAAUGCCAAAAGGCCUUCGGCAUAGUCUGCUCUUUCAUCGGAACAAGGGAUUUCGUCUAGGAGCACAUAGCCUUCAGAGUGUGGCCUCUUGUAGAGCAAUGGGAAAUGCCAAAGGAAACCAUCAGCAAGCCUGACGAAGGUGGACUGGUUAGGUUAAAAUACACCUUCAGAUAUGAGGGUAAGUUUAUUGAGCCAGAUGAUGAUUGGCUGAAAUGCAUCGAAGCUACAAGCGACGAACUGCUUGGACCAUAUUCAAAGACAGAAGAUAACGCUCUAUCUGCGACCUUCGGAGGGCGGAAAAAGAAGAGGUUGAAUAGAGUUUUCGAUGCUAUUGGGUUUAUGUACCCUGAUUACCGCUACUCGCUGAAAGGGCAAAAGAGAAAAAACACAACUUCUGGAAAAGGUGAUACUUCGGUUGCUCUAAGUGAGGCUGCGCCAAAGAGGAAAAGAGUGAAGGUCCUUACUCACCGACCACGCUUCAUCGAACCGGCCUCGGUGCCCGAAUUUGGUGGUGAGACCUCUACUGCUACUGAAGCCAAAGAGCCUACACCUUCGCAGAAAAUUGACGAGCUGACUGCAACGCCGAAGGCUGAAAAAAUUGAAGAGUCGAGAGUUGAGAGGACAAGAACAUCAGAACUUUUAAGUCCUUCGGCGGAAAUUGAAGUACCAAAAACCCAAAAAGGUCCAGCAAUGACCCCCAAAAGAAAAAGGAUGGUUAAAGUACUGGAUGUAUUGGAGACAAUAAAGUCUUCAAGCACUACUCCGAAGAAAAUUGCCGAAACUCCCGAAGUGCAAAUUGAAGCCUUUGAUGCCGAAACUACAAAGCACCAAUCUGAGACUGAAGCUGGGCCUUCAGAGCCCGCCAAGGUGAAAUCCUUGGAAACCAAAGAAACAGAAGCAGCAGAACAAAUUUUGGCUGAAGAAACUGGCACUGCCGCCCCCGAAGCAUUUUCCGAAGCCUUCAAUUAUAUUUUACGACAUGCUUCGGGGAAAAAGUUGACUGAAAAAGAAAAGCAAGAGGCUCAGUUCUAUGCCAAAAAUUGAAAUAUCCAAAGGGGGCGUUGAUUUUCAACGGCAGCGGAGAAGAAGACUUCUUGUAUUGUCUCCCAGACAGCAAGGAGAUCUCUGUCUACCGGGAGAUGGCAAGAAGCUUCGGAUUCCCGACGCUAGAAGACGAGCUCUCAGUGUUAUCAAAAGAUGAAUUAGCCGACAGCUUAGCGUACAACAGCUUAAAGGUGAGAAAAUAAGAUUUUUGUACAACAACUUUAAUUCGUUUGUUUAUUCCUAAGACCACAUUCCUUUUGCAGGGCCUUAUUCUUAGCAAUGCCCUCAGGGCUCAAAAAAGCGCUGAAGACGAGGGAUGUACCAUGGCCUUGAAUAACCUUCGUUCCGAAGUAAUUGAGCUAAGGAACGAAGGACUUGAGAAAGAUAAAAUAUUAAACUCAUUACUUAAUAAAAUAAAAGAAGACAAAGCUGCUUCCAAAGCCCAAGCUGAGAUCCAGAAACACGAAAUUGAAGAUCUUCGAAAACAGCUGGCAGGAGAAAAAUUAAAAUGUGCGGUUGCCAAAGCUGACCGAGACGCCAGUGAAUACUGGAAAAAUCACUGGGAGAAAAUAGUUGUGGAGCUUUGUUCUUCAAAAGAGAGAUGCUAUGAAAAAUCUAUGGCAUGUGUAGAAAAGAUAAAAACCAGCUUCGCCAAUAUUGGCGCAUACUCAAAUGAGGAAAACUUCGUAGUAGGCGAUCCCGAAGGUCCAAUCGAAUGGAUCAAGGGCGAAGCCGAAGCCUUUGAGGAAGUUCUGAGUGGCCGUGGAGAUGUCUGCGCCUUCUCAGGUGCCAGAGGAAUUGCGGCUAUCUUAGAGAAGGCGGGAUGCGAGCAUGUGAAGAUUCUGGCCCAAACCGAAGCUGCAUUUUCUAUUGAAGAUACAAGAGACCCUUCGGCUGAGGCAAGCCUGAUUGGCGAAAAGUUUUUUUACUGAUAUUUGGGAAAAUGGUGGCCGAGAGAUGGCCCACGAAAUUAUAAAGAAGAGUGAAAAAGAUACCCAUGAUGCUAGAGAAGCAACAAAGGCAGUUGAAAAAACUGCAGAACUUGAAGGGCAGAUAGGUAUUGUCUAAUUGCUUUUGACUUUAUGCUUUAUUCUUGUGACUUCGAACUUAUUCAUAUUUUAUAUUGCAGUCGAAUUAUCUCCUCCUCCGGAGCCUUUCGAGCCACAAACGAGCCCCAAAGCAAAAAGCGAAGAUGAAAUUAUUAAGAUGGCUGAAGAUAUUAUGGACAAAGUUGUUUUUCAACUACUAAACGAAGCUACAGAAGUAGUUUUAAGAGAAGAAUAGCUAUUGUUGUAAAAACAUUUGGAAUAUUGAUGUAAUAUUUGCUGUACACAGUGUAUAAUAUUCUAUAGUUUUGAAAGUAAUAUAUAAGCUGUGUGUAAUUCGGUUCUUUACGAUGCAUGAAACUUUACAUACAUACCGCUUUUGAGCCUUUGGCGAAAAAACACCUUCCCUUCUUUUCAUGCUUCGUGAAGAAUAUCCAUGUUCGUGAAAAUAUCAUGCUUCUUAAGCAAUAGAUUUCCCGACAUCUUAUUUUGUGCCUUGGCACAAUUUCUUCGAAACAAUUUCCGAAGAUUGAUCAUUGUAUUCCCUUUUUGUGCCUUUGAUGCGAUAUGAUGUAUGAUGUCAUGUUAUGCGAAUGAUGUGAUGAUGCUAUGGUAUGCAAAAUGAUACUUGUACCGAAGAUACACACAUAUUCCCACAGUAGAACACAUUCUCUUUGCCGUUUAUUUUUCGGCUUCACCGCUUAUUUUUCGGUGUAUCAGCGUUGACUUUUCGCUGUAAGCCUCCCUUAGGAGCGUCUUCACCUUUUAUUUCGGCGGUAUCAGCGUUUAUUUUUCGCUGCAAGCCUCCCUUAGGAGCUUCUUCGCCUUUUAUUUCGGCGGUAUCAGUGUUUAUUUUUCGCUGUAAGCUCUGCAUUCCCUUUGGAACGACUUUUGAGGAGAAAACUUACGCUUCGUUCUUUUAAGAACGACUUUUGUUGCUUCGUCAAAACUUUUAGAACUUCGUCGAUUUUUGAGGAAGGUAUAUUACAUUAUGAUAAUGACGAAGCUUUUCAAGAAAUUGAAAACAACAAAAGAACUAAGUUUUCAAUGAUUGCUCUUUAUUGAAAAAGGUAAAUGAUAACAAAUGUAGAAACUGCUUCAGAGGUAGGAUAUAUCUUAGUAGAUGUGCUUCGAUUCUGGCACAGUACUGUUGACUGUGCGAGCUUCGGAUUGCUCCGUGAAGUCUCUCUACUGGUGCGUGUGCUGGCUCCCUUCUGGCUGCUGGCCUUGGGGAUAAGCGGGUUGUAUUGGUGGCAGAGGUGGAGGUUGUUGCCAAGAUGCCUGAGGUUGGCUUGCCGAAGCAACAGAAACUGCAGGAUGGUUGCCCACAUACUCUAGAAUGUACGGUGAGUGGUACGAAGCAGUAUGCAUAACCUGCUUCGACUGGCUCUGUUGGGCUGCAGCUUCUGCUAUCUCUUUCUGUUUCUGGAUGGUGACAUGGCACAUCCUGGUAGUAUGGCCCUUGUCCUCACCACAUAAUAGGCAAUAAAUUUUUCUGGGCUGAUCCCCAAACCUUCCUCCGAAGCCCCUGGUGCCUCUGCCCCUUGGAGCUGGGGGCCAAGGAUAGCUCUGUUGCUGCCCCGAAGCCUGGGAGGAAUACUGCGGCCUCUGCUGCUGACUUCCCCUGUCGUCAUUCUGAGUAGAGUGGAUUGAUCUGAUGUGCCUAGGGUGGACUCUCCCUCUGAAGCCCCUGGUCAUUUCGGAGAACCUGUAAGCUUCCUCCCUUCUUUGUCGAAAGUCAUUAUCUGUGCGGAUAUAUUCAUCCAUCUUUUGAAGCAGUUUCUCCAGGGUCCGAGGGGGUUUCCUGGCGAAGUAUUGGGCCGCAGGUCCUGGCCGAAGUCCCUUGAUCAUGGCCUCAAUGACAAUUUCAUUGGGCACCGUUGGCGCUUGUGCCCUUAAACGCAAGAACCUUCGUACAUACGCCUGAAGGUAUUCUUCGUGAUCUUGUGUGCACUGGAACAAAGCUUGAGCAGUAACCGGCUUUGUCUGAAACCCUUGGAAACUGGUAAUCAGCAUAUCCUUCAGCUUCUGCCAUGAUGUGAUCGUUCCUGGUCGAAGAGAGGAGUACCAGGUUUGUGCAACAUUCUUGACUGCCAUGACAAAAUAUUUCGCCAUGACUGCAGUAUUCCUCUAUAUGAAGAUAUGGUGGCUUCGUAGCUCAUCAGAAACUGCUUCAGAUCUAAGUGUCCGUCAUACAUGGGGAGCUGGGGUGGCUUGUAUGACGGGGGCCAAGGUGUAGCCUGUAGUUCUGCUGACAGAGGAGAAGCAUCAUCAAAAGCAAAAUUUCCUUGAUGAAAAUCUUCAUACCAUUCAUCCUCGUUGUAGAAGCCUUCCCGAUGAAGCUCCCUAUGUUGGGGCCUUCGGUCUUGCUCAUCCUGAGCAAGAUGGCGUACUUCUUCUGUAGGUUCGUCGAUCUGCCUCUGAAGGUCGGCCAGUCGAGCCAUCUUCUCCUUCUUCUUUUGUACUUGAUGAAGCAUCUCCAUGUUCCUGAUUUCUUGGUCCAACUUGUCCUCCUGGGGCGUUGGACUAGUGGCCUUUCUCUUCUGGCUUCGGGCCUCUCGAAGAGAAAGGGUCUUCUGGUUUGGAUCCAGUGGCUGCAGAGCGGCAGCCCCUGUCGCUGAAGCUUUCUUUGGUGGCAUGACGAAGGUCAAUGCCUUCCAAAGGUGGUCGAGAAGAGUUCACCGGAGGUGGCGCCAAUGUUGGGGACUUGUUCUUAAAUGCUAUGUGAUAGUCGCCUAGAGGGGGGUGAAUAGGGCGAAACUGAAAUUUACAAAUAUAAACACAACUACAAGCCGGGUUAGCGUUAGAAAUAAUAACGAGUCCGCGAGAGAGGGUGCAAAACAAAUCUCAAGCAAAUAAGGGGUGUGACACAAGGAUUUGUUUUACCGAGGUUCGGUUCUUGCAAACCUACUCCCCGUUGAGGUGGUCACAAAGACCGGGUCUCUUUCAACCCUUUCCCUCUCUCAAACGGUCCUUCCGACCGAGUGAGCUUCUCUUCUCAAAUCAAAGCCGGGAACAAAACUUCCCCACAAGGGCCACCACACAAUUGGUGCCUCUUGCCUUGAUUACAAUGGAGUUUUGAUCACAAGAACAAGUGAGAAAGAAAAGAAGCAAUCCAAGCGCAAGAGCUCAAAAGAACACGACAAAUCUCUCUCGCUAAUCACUAAAGCCUUGUGUGGAAUUGGAGAGGAUUUGAUCUCUUUGGUGUGUCUAGAAUUGAAUGCCUAGCUCUUGUAAGUGGUUGGGAAGUGGAAAACUUGGAUGGCAUGAAUGGUGGGUGGUUGGGGUAUUUAUAGCCCCAACCACCAAACUAGCCGUUUGGUGGGGCUGACUGUCGUAUGGUGCACCGGACAGUCCGGUGUACACCGGACAUGUCCGGUGCGCCAGCCACGUCACCAAAGCCGUUGGGUUCCGACCGUUGGAGCUCUGUCUUCUAGGCCCGCCUGGAUGUCCGGUGGCGCACCGGACAUGUACUGUAGAGUGUCCGGUGCGCCACUACGCGCGUGCCUGACUUCUGCGCGCUCUGGCGCGCAUUAAUUGCUGUUGCAGGUGACCGUUGGCGCGAAGUAGUCGUUGCCCCGCAGUUACACCGGACAGUCCGGUGUACACCGGACAUGUCCGGUGAAUUAUAGCGGAGCAGCUGUUGCAGUUUCCCGAAGCUGGCGAGUUCCUGAGGCCGCUCCCCCUUGGAGCACCGGACACUGUCCGGUGUACACCGAACAGUCCGGUAAAUUAUAGUGGAGCUGCCUCUGGAUUUUCCCAAAGGCGACGAGAUUGCGCUGGAGUCCUCUGGUGCACCAGACAUGUCCGGUGGGACAGUCCGGUGCGCCAGACCAGAGGUGCCUUCGGUUGUCCCUUUGCUCUUUUGUUGAACCCAAUACUCGGUCUUUUUAUUGGCUAAGUGUGAACCUUUGGCACCUGUAUAACUUAUACACUAGAGCAAACUAGUUAGUCCAAUUAUUUGUGUUGGGCAAUUCAACCACCAAAAUUAAUUAGGGACUAGGUGUAAGCCUAAUUCCCUUUCACUAUGAGUUAACAGCAAGGCAACACAGAGAAUGUUAAACAUAAAAGUCCUUUGUCCUUCGAAGCAUUAUUUCCCUUGAGAGAUAAUGAUUUUCGGACGAAGGUCACGAAGUACGUACCUUCGUGAAUACAACAUAUAAAUAAUGAAGAAGGAAACAUAUAAAAUAUAAAAGGUAACACCAACAGUUAUGUAUUGUUAUUAACUCAUUUCUGUUUUAUUAUUAUGGAAAAAUAGAAAUGAGUACAAAUUACAAAUGUACCUUCGACUUGAAGGAAGGUAAAAGUACAAGCGUGACGCAAAAGCGAAUGCCAAGUCAGCGUGAACAGUACAGGAGCACUGUUCAUCUAUUUAUAGGUACGGGUUACAGCCCAUGUAAAAUUACAUUCAGGCCCUUUGCAUUUGCUAAUAAUUCUAUAGCAAUUCAUCGAGGUCUAGAUAGCCUUUUCCCUUUUAAGUCGGUUUCCUUUUCCCUAUCAUCAUGCCGAAGCUCCCUUGCGCACAGUUUCGGCUCUGUUCCAUCCUUCGUUUCCCUUGUGCUUCUUCAUACUGUGAUUUUGACUCAAGUCCGAACGGUCCAAGUCCGAAGGUACCUGCUCAUGUCUUAUACUCCAAAAACAUUGUUAAAUCACGUUUUUGAGGACCUUCGGAAGCCGAAGGCCCCCAACAACAACUAUUUGUGGACUAACAGUUCUUAGAGAAAUAAGAAUGCAGGUUGGACCACAGAGAACAGAAAAUCUUGGAUACUUAUAAGCAUUGGUUGUGGAUCAAGUGAAGGCAAAGGUAUAACAUAGGUUUUUGUUUUUGCCGGUCUCCAGGAGUUUAGAGAAGACAUUUGACCAGAUUAGUAGGCUAGAUGGCCGUACUAUUAAGAGGGGUCAAUGACUUUGGUUUGUGUAAAACUUAGUGCCUCAUAGAGCAUCAAGUGGUUGCAUUUGCAUGAGGUCUAACAACGCUUCUGGUUUCGAGAGUUAAAAAAAUCUUUUCGAAAGCGUGUUUGAAAAGUUGCUAAGUCAUGGGGUUAGUGGACCAUCCGGGCCAAGUGGCCGGAUCGUCCGCGAUCUAUCCAGAGGGGUCCGAAGUUUGUUCACUUCGGACUGGUCCUGUAUGUUUGUACUGCGGACCGACCGGGCCUUGGGGCCGGACCGUCCGCAGUCCUGACCAGAGAUGGUCACCCUCUGCACAGUCCCUGUAUAAUUGUGCGGACUGUCCGGCCGGGGUCGGCGGAACGUCCGCAGGUGCCAAAUUAGUUUGGGCAGAGACUGUGUAUUUUUGGGCACUUGUACUAUGGACUGUCCAAGGCCUAAGCCCGGACAGUACUAACUCCCAGGUCGCAGACCGUCCGGCCUUGUAUGGCAGACAGUCUGCGAGUGUUAGCUCAUCGUGGUCAGAGCUCUGGUGCUCCAUGUUGCCAGGUUUUGAACGGUCCGACCAAGGUUGGCGGACUGUCCGGACUUCACUUUUUCUGACAGAUCUGACAUAUUUCAAACGGGAAAUCUAGCCGUUACUUGUACGGUGGACCAUCCGGCCUAAGGGCGCGAACCGUCCGCGUGUGCGUAGAAGUUGUGCUAGUUGCACAUAACGGUUAGAAAUGUGAAGUGGGCUAUAAAUAGAACGGGAGCUCGUGUGUGAGGCUUCCCUUGGCCAUUCCUUGCACACUUUGAGCUCAUAUGUGAUCCUCCCACUCAUUCUCUCACACUCCUUGCUUGAGAUUGCAUUCUAGUGAGAGAUUGAGAGCUCCUAGUGCAUUUGCAUCCAUUGGUGAUUCUUGAGGCACUAGGUGGUACACCGGGUAAGCGUCAUCGGCUUGUUACUCUUGGAGGUUGCCACCACCUAGACGGCUCGGGUGUUGUCUCCGUCGAGCUCUCCAAGAAGAUUGUGGAGGAGCCACGGUGUCGAUUGUGAGGGGUUCACGCCUACCUCGCCGGAGCGGCAAAGGCGACGCUAGUGGAAAUGAGGUAUUGAGAGAUUUCUUGUCCACUUGGCUCAAAGAUCAAGCCGCGUCUUGAUAGAGGAGCAAGUGAGAGCUUGAAGUCCACCUCAACGUGGAUUAGGGGUGAUCGGCAAAUCCCCGAUACCAUGGUAUAAAAUCUGGUGUCUUUCUCUUCUCGCAUUACUUAUUACCGCGCAAGUAAUUAGUAUUUUGUGUAUUGUCUCUCUUGUAUACAAUUACCAUAGUUGUUUCUCAUAGAUUGCUUACUUGUUGUCUCUAGAGAAUUUAUACCUCUUUCCAUAUUGAUUAAAUUUCUCUAGUGUUAUUUAUUUUAGUCAAAACCGUCUAUUCACCCCCUCUAGCCGGUGUCCUAGAUCCUACAGUAGAUGCCACGGUUGAGGCCCAUUCUCGAACAAUUGGUGGGUGUGAUGGUGACAACCUCCUCCUCCUCUGCGUCGGUGUUGGGGACGAGCGCGGGAUUCAUCGCCUGGUCUGGUGACGGCAAGGAGAAACGGAGGCGGCGGACUUCGUCGGACAACUCCAUCCCGCCGAUGAGGACCUUCUCGUCCGGGUCCCGAUGGAACAACAUCGUGCCCUUGGGGAGGCAUGGGUAGCGCGGUGAUCCGCUGCUGUCGACGUUCGAGUCGAGCGUCACGUCGAGGUCGAGCGGCGCAUAGACGAGGACACCGCCUGAAUCGUUGUCAGCCGCGUUGGCGCUCGUGGCAUCCUCGUCCAACACGUUGAGCUCCUGGAGGAGGUUGUCGUCGAGGUUGACGGGAGUAUCGACAAACGGUUGUGGCAUGGUGUAGCAGUCGUCGUCGUAGAGCGGUGGGAUACCGAGCCGGCGAGGAGCGUGGACGCCACCUUCGCCGCGUCAUCGUGGACAAGAGGCGAAAGACUUGCCUCGUCAUGGUACUGUGUGUUGACAACAAAAGAAGGAGGUGCGGAUCCGUCGAAGGAGGAAGUGCGCUCGCGUGCGGACUGCUCGUCGCAGCGACCAGCCAGCGCAUCGGUCAUGCAUGCCUCCGUUCGCGCCAGCGUGUCUGAGAAUACCCUGCAUCGCUGCCUCCAUGGAGUCCAUCACGGAUGAUCGGGGUCACCACGACACAGCAGCGAACGGAUCCAGAAUACCCUGCAUCGCCGCCUCCAUGAACGCCUCCAUGGCAAAUGUUUCUUGCAAGUCAACAAUGUGAUUCUCUUGCUUCGUGCUCUUUACUAUGAUAUCAUCAACAUAAGUCAGCAUUUUUGAGCCCCUCAAGCAUCCAAAGGUAGCAAUAGGUACCACUAGGAGUUAUGAAGCUGGUCUUUGGCUCAUCUUCCUUCUUCCAAAUUUGAUGAUAGCCUGAAUAGCAGUCCGGUAGACUCAUGAGCUCCGAAGAAGCUGCUGCAUCUACAAGGGAGUCUAUUCUUGGCAAUGGGAACUCGUCCUUUGGGCAUGCCUUGUUGAGAUCUAUGAAAUCAAUACACAUUCUCCAUUUACCAUUAGCCUUCUUCACCAUAAUAGUGUUGGCUAACCAUUCUGGAUAUGUUACUUCUCUGAUAACACCGGCACUGAGGAGUCUCUUAACUUCGUUCCGAGCACCUUCAGCUUUAUCAUCAGACAUCUUCCGAAGUCUUUGCUUCCUUGGCUUGAAAGAUGGAUCCACAUUAAGUGAAUGCUUGAUGACAUCUCUGUUGACACCACAAAGAUCAUUGGCUGACCAAGCAAAGACAUCUUUGUUGUUGAACAAAAAUCUUAUCAAAGUUUUUUCCUGCUCAUCAGAUAGCUGAGAUCCCAACAGUACCCUUUGAUCUGCUGUGUCUUCACAUAAAAGCAUAGGCUUCGGUUGGUCUGCCGAAGCAGCCUUCUCUCUUUUGUGCUUAUAUUAUUGACAAACUUUGGCUCCAUCUAUAUUAUGUAUUUCCUUUGAAUCUAUCCAACUCCCUUCAGCCCUUCUAGCAACUUCUUGACUUCCGUGGACAUCAAUGAGCCCUUGUUCCGAAGGUAUCUUCAUGCAUAAGUAUGCUGGAUGAAGUAUUGCUUCGAAGGCAUUAAGUGUCCCUCGACCAAUGAUUGCAUUAUAUAGGUAUUCCAUGUCAACAAUGUCAAAAACAACUUGCUCAGUUCUUGUGUUGUGGACAUAGUCGAAGGUAACUGGCAUUGUGAUUUUUCCAAGUGCCACAAUCUGUCGUUCUCCGAAGCCACAAAGAGGGUGUGUAGAAUCAUGAAUCUUGUCCUCUGGUUCUUGCAUCUGCUUGAAGGCCUUUGCAAAUAUAAUGUCCACUGACUGCCUGUGUCAACCAGAACAUUGUGGACCAGAAAACCCUUGAUGAUACAAGAUAUGACCAUAGCAUCAUUGUGAGGAUAAUCUUUUAGCUGAAGAUCCUCCUGGAAGAAGGUGAUUGGGAUGUGGGACCAUUUGGACCUGACGAAGGGUCCUUGCACCCCAACAUGCUGCACUCUUCUUUGCGCUUCCUUCUUUUGCUUCUUGUUGGUUGGCUCUGAACCUGAACCACUCGUUAUUGGGAGCACCAGCUUCAUAGUCGAAGGUGCUGCAACUUGGUUGCUGAACGAAGCCAUCAACUCAAUUGUGGAAGUGAGUUCACAGGAGGUGGGCACCAAUGUUGGGGACUUGUUCUCAAAUGCUAUGAGUCAAGAACAAGGCAACACAAGACAUUAAUGGUUAAAGUCUUCGUCCUUCGAAGCAUUAUCUCUCUUAGGAUAUAAUGAUCUUCAGACGAAGGUUAUGAAGGUCGUACCUUCAUCAUCACAGUGCAUAAUAAUGGAAGUAGAAGCAUAUGAAACAUGAAAAGUAUCAUGAAUAAUCAUAUGAUAUCAUUUAUAUAUCUUUAUUAUAGUAUUAUCAAUGAAUAUAAACAAUGUUGAAUUACAUUUAUACCUUCGGCUUGACAGAAGGCGGAAAUCCAAGUAUGACGUGCGAGUGAAUACAAGUCAGCGUGAACAGUACAUGGUUACUGUUCACCUAUUUAUAGGCACGGGACGCAGCCCGGUCGAAAUUACAUUUGUGUCCUUGAUGACAAAUUACAAAUGCGACACAAACUAUUAGGGACUUAACAAUAUUUUCCUCUUUAAGUCGGUGCCGCCCUUCGUCUCAAAGCAUGUCACUAUGUCGAAGCUCCCUGGAUCGUAGCUUCGGCCUGUACCUUCGUGCUGUGUCUGCUUAUGUGCCAACUUGCCGAAAGUGUUUUUGCUUAGAGGACCUUCGGCGACGAAGCAGGCCCCCAACAGUGGUAGUUCUCAUUCCUUCUUACAUGAGAAAUUUUAGUCCUUAUUGCCCAAUAUUCAGUUGGUUUCUACAUCCAUGCAAGUGCGAGUGGCUAGUGGAGCUGUAUUGAGGUGCCAGCACAAAUUUUAACAGUUGCAGUGGCAUUUGCAAGGGUGUGCUUUCCAUACAGAUGUCACUUUGCAGCCUCUACUAUGUUAUGACAUGAUUCUGGGAAUGGAUUAGCUUCAGUCAUUUAGUCCCAUGAGGGUACAUUGGGCACAUAAAUGGUUAUCUAUUCCCUAUCAAGGAAGAACUAUCACAUUACAUGGACAAUCAGCUGUUAUACCCGAAUGUACCAUUGUUGAACUCCUGCUAGUCUCUUCUUCAAGUACAGCACAACCAGAAUUGCAUCCUCAAAUUCAGUUGUUGUUACAACAGUAUGUUUCAGUUUUUGUAGAUCCAGUGGGCCUUCCACCUUCAUGGGACUAUGAACAUGUUAUUCCAUUGAUUCAAGGGGCUCAACCAAUGUCUGUCAAAGCAUAUAGAUACCCGCCGCAAUUGAAAUACGAGAUUGAAUGACAAAUCACUACCAUGCUUUAGCAGGGUGUCAUCUAGAAGAGUAAUAGUUUCUUUGCUUCACCAGUUUUAUUGGUUAAGAAAAAAGAUGACACCUGGCGUUUUUGUGUUGAUUAUCGUUACUUAAAUGCUCUCACUAUCAAGAGUAAAUACCCAGUGCCUGUAUUUGACCAACUCAUUGAUGAGCUUGCACAAUCUUGUUGGUUCAGUAAAUUGGACCUUAAAGUUGGUUACCAUCAAAUUCUGUUGCGAGUCGGGGAAGAGUAUAAAACGACAUUCCAAACUCAUGUCGGUCACUAUGAGUUUCAGGUGAUGACCUUUGGACUCACUGGGGCACCGAAUACAUUUCUUGAGGCUAUGAACUCUACACUUAAAUCAGUGUUAUGAAGAUGUGAAUUAGUGUUCUUUGAUGAUAUUUUAAUUUACAGCUCUACAUUUGAGAACCAUAUUUCCCAUUUAUCUGAAGUCUUGAGUCCGUUAUCCUGUGACCAGUGGAAAGUGAAGAUAUUCAAGUGUGAAUUCGCGCAACAGCAGAUUAUUUAUCUGGGACAUGUCAUCAGUGCUCAGGGCGUAUCAACUGAUCCUAACAAAAUCUAGGUUAUUGAACAGUGGCCAAUACCGGUUAAUGCUAAGGACCUACGAAGUUUUUUGGGACUUGCGGGGUUCUAUCUCAAGUUUGUUUGCAACUUUGGCAUUAUCAGUCGUCCUCUAUUCAAUUUGCUUAAGAAAAAUGCAGUCUUUGUUUGGACCAUCGAUCAUCAGCAGGCUUUUCAGUUGCUUAAAAAUGCCCUAGUGACUACACAUGUAUUGGCAUUACCAGAUUUUUCCAAACCAUUCACAAUUCAUACUGAUGCGAGUCAAUUUGGUGUGGGUGCUAUACUGAUGCAGCAGGACCAUCCUCUGGCGUUUCUCAGCCAUGCUUUGGGGCCUAAGAACCAUGGGCUGUCAACCUACGAGAAAGAGUAUAUGGCCAUACUUCUAGCAGAUAAUCAGUGGUGUUCUUACCUGUAAUUGGCGGAGUUUAUUAUUUACACCGACCACAUCAGUCUUACAAAGAAACCAAGGUCGCUCUUAACCGUGAGCACUGCUGAUAUACCAGUUUCUAACACUCUGCAGAGGUUGCACACUUUACCCACAAGUCGUGAUUCCCAUUCUGCCCGAAGAUCAUGACUCUCCAUUGAUCACUACCAAGAUGACCUAGCAAGGUCUCACUAUGUAGCCUUUACAAAGAUUCCCCAGAGGUCAUAGUCGCCCGUUAGGUUUCUCCAGUUUGAUAAACACGAUACUUCUCCCAACAGGAAGGGUGACUAACAAAACCAAAUCAAAGAACCUCUGCAACUAGCCUCGACAGAGCAAGUAUUGUGCCCGGACCCCAUUGAUGGCCCUACGGCGAAGCCAACUACGCCUCAAGUUUCUCUAAUUAAUCAGCUAAGGGCGUCCUAUUCCAAUUUCCACCCUCAUGGUUGUACUGUUAUCCUGGGUGGUCACUCAACGAACAGGUCCUUACGGAGAGGUACUUAGGAAACAGCCUGAGUCCCCUAGAGUAUCACAAGAUCAUCAUCGAGAUAAUAACAUCGUAUCAUAAAUAUUCACAUCAUGUUCGUUGAUUAAGUUAAAGCAAUAGCAUAAAGCUAACCAUGAUAACCCAAAAGGUAAACAAGGAUAAGGUAAAUACAGACUAGUCAAUCCUUAGGUUUCAAUAAAGUAAUGUGUUUAUUGUGGGACGGUGAAUUAUAAAGUGAGAGCACCUAGAGGGGGGGGUGAAUAGGUGAUCCUGUAAAAACUUAAAACUUAAAGCCACAAAACUUGAUUAAGAGUUAGCACAAUGAAUUCAAGUGGCUAAAGGAGAGCUCUUGUGAAAUAAAAUAAACACAGUGAGAACAAGCACAAGAGAUACGAGGAUUUAUCCCGUGGUUUGGCCAAGUAUAACACUUACCUAUUCCACGUUGUGGCGUCCCAAUGGACGAGAGUUGCACUCAACUCCUCUCAAGUGAUCCAAUGAUCAACUUGAAUACCACGGUGUUCUUCUUUCUUUACUCUUUCCCGUUUGCGAGGAAUCUCCACAACUUGGAGUCUCUCACCCUUACAAUAAGGAUCAAAGUGAAAGCACUAGAGUAAGGGAGGGAAGCAACACACAUAAAUCCACAGCAAUACGCACACACAUAGCUAAGACUUGAGCUCAAAUGAAUAACACAAGGUUCACCACUAGAACGAAGCUCAAAUCACUAAGAAUGCCAAUCGAGUGCGCAAAGACGGAGUGUGAAUGAUCAAGAAUGCUUAGAGUUUGCUUGGUGUGCUCCUCCAUGCCCCUAGGGGUCCCUUUUAUAGCCCCAAGGCAGCUAGGAGCCGUUGAGAGCAAUCCAGGAAGGCUAUCCUUGCCUUCUAUCGGGUGGUGCAUCGGACUGUCCGGUGCUGAUUGCUUUCCUAUUCUGGCGCGGCCGACCGUUGAAGAUUUGGAGUCGUUGGCGCACCGGACAGUCAGGUGCCCCUAUCAGACUGUUGGCUCGGCCACGCGUCACGCGCGGAAUGUGCGGCCGACCGUUGGCUCACCGGACAGUCCGGUGCACCACCGGACAGUCUGGUGAUUUUUAGCCGUAUGCCGCCGACGAAAUCUCGAGAGCGGCCAGUUUGACCAAAGCCAGCCUGACGCAUCGGACACUGUCCGGUGCACCACCGAACAGUCCGGUGCACCCAGACUGAACAACAGUUAGCCAACUCUUUUUUUCUUUUGUCUUUUCUCUGAUUCUAGCACUUAGACAAAUAUGUUAGUACACAAAAUCCAAUGUACUAAGUCUAGAAUCAUACCUUUGUGUUGAUUUGCACUUCUUCCACCAUUUGGCAUAGUUUCACACUUAAACCAUUUGUGUUGGCACUUGAUCACCAAAAUACUUAGAAAUGGCCCAAGGGCACAUUUCCCUUUCAAUCUCCCCCUUUUUGGUGAUUUAUGCCAACACAACACAAAGCAACUAAAAGAAGUGCAACAUCAAUGCGAAUGAGUACACAAAUUUGUUUUGAUUCAAAUUUGGCAUAUUUGGAUCAUUCUUUGCCACCACUUGGUUUGUUUUUGCAAAUCAAACUCAAUUUCCUAUCUCUAAGUCAAAUUCACUUGUUGAGGCAUAGAGAGAGGUAUUCCAAGAGAAAUUGAUCAAAGAUUCAAAAACUCCCCUCUUUUUCCAUAAUCAAACAUUCUCCCCACAAGAGACCAAUUUUUGACAAUAAGAGACCAUAAGAGUAUUUUGACAAAACAAAAGCUCUAACUCUACUAUUUUUCAAAAUUCUCAAGUGGUAGCUGAUCCAUUUCUUGCUUUGGCCUUAGUUUCUCCCCCUUUGGCAUCAAACACCAAAACGGGAUCAUUUUUGGCCCUUAAACCCCAUUGCCUCACCAAAAUCUUCAAAUAAGAAUAAAAGACAAUAAGAGUAUGGAGAUGAACUUGGAGUGAGUUACCCUCUCAUCGGAGUGUAGUGGAAGUCUUUCAUGGUCCAAGUCCACCUUUCCCUUUCAAUCCACUUUUGAGACUAAAGCAUGUAAACUCACCCACAAGGUUAGUCUCAAAGUGUCAAGUUGGAGCAUGUCUCCCCCGCAAUAAGCGCAUCACUUGCACAUGGACUUGUGAGGUCCGGGGAUCAUGUGUACAACUUGAGCACCAUACAUAAACAACAAAUCUCAUAAAUGCAUAAAGUAACUUGAUCAAAUGCAUAAAACACAUGUAUGCUAUAAAUCAAUCCAAGUUACGCGAAUCUAAGACAUUUAGCUCACUACACAGCCUGCAAAAGGUUGACUCAUCUAGAGGCUUGGUAAGGAUAUCGGCUAGCUGGUUUUCGGUGCUAACAUAGAACACUUCGAUAUCUCCCUUUUGCUGGUGGUCUCUCAAAAAGUGAUGCCAGAUGUCUAUAUGCUUUGUGCGGCUGUGUUCAACAGGAUUAUCCGCCAUGCGGAUUGCACUCUCAUUGUCACAUAGGAGUGGGACUUUGCUCAGAUUGUAGCCGAAGUCCCUGAGGGUUUGCCUCAUCCAAAGUAGUUGCGCGCAACACUGUCCUGCGGCAACAUACUUGGCCUCAGCGGUGGAUAGGGCAACGGAAGUUUGUUUCUUAGAACUUCAAGACCCCAGGGACCUUCCUAAGAAUUGGCACGUCCCUGAUGUACUCUUCCUAUCAACCUUGCAUCCAGCAUAAUCGGAGUCUGAGUAUCCAAUCAAGUCAAAGGUUGACCCCUUUGGAUACCAGAUCCCGAAGCAAGGCGUAGCAACUAAAUAUCUAAGAAUUCGCUUAACGGCCACAAGGUGACACUCCCUUGGAUCAGAUUGAAAUCUAACACACAUGCAUACACUUAGCAUAAUAUCCGGUCUACUAGCACAUAAGUAAAGCAAGGAACCUAUCAUAGACCGGUAUGCCUUUUGAUCAACGGACUUACCUCCUUUGUUGAGGUCGACGUGUCCGUCGGUUCCCAUUGGAGUCUUUGCGGGCUUGGCGUCCUUCAUCCAAAACCGCUUGAUCAAGUCUUACAUGUACUUCGUUUGGGAGAUGAAGGUGCCGUCCUUGAGUUGCUUUACUUGGAACCCAAGGAAGUAGUUCAACUCUCCCAUCAUUGACAUCACAAUUUUUUGAGUCAUCACCCUGCUAAACUCUUCACAAGACUUUUGGUUAGUAGAACCAAAUAUUAUGUCAUCGACAUAAAUUUGGCAUACAAAUAAGUCACCAUCACAUGUCUUAGUGAAAAGAGUUGGAUCGGCUUUCCCAACCUUGAAAGCAUUAGCAAUUAGAAAGUCUCUAAGGCAUUCAUACCAUGCUCUUGGGGCUUGCUUAAGUCAAUAGAGCGCCUUAGAGAGCUUACACACGUGGUCGGGGUACCGUUCAUCCUCAAAGCCAGGGGGUUGCUCUACGUACACCUCCUCCUUGAUUGGCCCGUUGAGGAAUGCGCUCUUCACAUCCAUUUGGAACAACCUGAAAGAAUGGUGACAUAGGCUAACAAAAUGCGAAUAGACUCUAGCCUAGCCACAGGAGCAAAAGUCUCCUCAAAGUCCAAACCUGCGACUUGGGCAUAACCUUUUGCCACAAGUCUAGCCUUGUUUCUUGUCACCAUUCUGUGCUCGUCUUGUUUGUUGCGGAACACCCACUUGGUUCCCACAACGUUUUGCUUUGGACGUGGCACCAGGGCCCAAACUUCAUUUCGCUUGAAGUUAUUGAGCUCUUCCUGCAUGGCCAACACCCAGUCCGGAUCUAGCAAGGCAUCUUCUACCCUGAAAGGCUCAAUAGAAUAGACAAAAGAGUAGUGCUCACAAAAAUUAACUAAUCUAGAGCAAGUAGUUACUCCCUUGCUUAUAUCACCUAAAAUCUGGUCGACGGGAUGAUUCCUUUGAAUCGUCGCUCGGACUUGAGUUGGAGGGACUUGAGGUGCUUCUUCCUCCAUAACAUGAUCAUCUUGUGCUCCCCCUUGAUCGCACGCCUCUUGAUGAACCUGUUCAUCAGUUUGAGUCGGGGGAUGCACCAUUGUUGAGGAAGAAGGUUGAUCUUGCUCCGUUUGUUCCUGUGGUCGCACAUCUCCAAUCGCCAUGGUGCGUAUUGCGGCCAUUGGAACAUCAUCUUCAUCUACAUCAUCAAGAUCAACUUGCUCUCUUGGAGAGCCAUUAGUCUCAUCAAAUACAACGUCGCUAGAGACUUCAACUAAACCCGAUGAUUUGUUGAAGACUCUAUACGCCUUUGUAUUUGAAUCAUAACCUAACAAAAACCCUUCUACAACUUUGGGAGCAAAUUUAGAAUUCCUACCUUUCUUCACUAGAAUGUAGCAUUUACUCCCAAAUACACGAAAAUAUGAACCCUUGGGUUUGUUACCGGUUAGAAGCUCAUACAAAGUCUUCUUGAGGAGGCGAUGAAGGUAGACCCGAUUUAUGGCGUGGCAAGCCGUGUUCACGGCUUCCGACCAAAACCGCUCGGGCGUCUUGAACUCUCCAAGCAUCGUCCUCGCCAUGUCUAAAAGCGUCCUGUUCUUCCUCUCUACCACACCGUUUUGCUGUGGUGUGUAAGGAGCGGAGAACUCGUGCUUGAUUCCUUCCUCCUCAAGGUACUCCUCCACUUGAAGGUUCUUGAACUCGGACCCGUUGUCGCUCCUUAUCUUCUUCACCUUGAGCUCAAAUUCAUUUUGAGCUCUCCUUAGGAAGCGUUUAAGGGUCCCUUGGGUUUCUUUUUUAUCCUGCAAGAACAAUACCCAAGUGAAGCGGUAAAAUUCAUCAACUAUAACAAGACCAUACUUACUUCCCCCGAUGCUGAGGUAGGCGACGAGUCCAAAGAGAUCCAUAUGAAGUAGUGCCAGGGGUCUCGACGUGGUCAUCAUGUUCUUGCUGUGAUGAGCAUUUCCCACUUGUUUUCCUGCUUGACAAGCUGCACAAGGUCUAUCUUUUUCGAAAGUUACAUUUGUUAGACCUAACACAUGUUCUCCCUUUAGAAGUUUGUGAAGGUUCUUCAUCCCCACAUGUGCUAAUCGGCGAUGCCACAGCCAGCCCAUGCUAGUCUUAGCAAUUAAGCAUGCAUCUAGACCGGCCUCUUCCUUUGCAAAAUCAACUAAAUAGAGUUUGUCAUCUAGUACACCCUUAAAAGCUAAUGAACCAUCACUUCUUCUAAAGACAGACACAUCUAGAUUUGUGAAUAAGCAAUUAUAACCCAUAUUACAAAGUUGACUAACGGACAACAAGUUAUACCCGAGCGACUCAACUAAAAACACAUUAGAAAUGGAGUGCUCGAAUGAAAUAGCAAUCUUUCCUAGUCCUUUAACCUUGCCUUGAUUCCCGUCACCGAAUAUGAUUGAAUCUUGUGAAUCUUUGUUCUUGACGUAGGAGGUGAACAUCUUCUUCUCCCCCGUCAUGUGGUUUGUGCAUCCGCUGUCGAUAAUCCAGCUUGAGCCCCCGGAUGCAUAAACUUGCAAGGCAAUUUAGGCUUGGGUCUUAGGUACCCAACUCUUGUUGGGUCCUACAAGGUUAGUGACAAUAGUCUUAGGGACCCAAAUGCAAGCUUUAUCUCCCUUGCAUUUUGCCCCAAAUUUCCUAGCAAUCACUUUCUUAUUCUUUAUACAAAUUUCAAAGGAAGCAUUGCAAGCAUGGUAAAUUGUAGAAGGUUCAUUAAUUACUUUCCUAGGAACAUGAGCAACAUUUCUCCUAGGCAUAUGAUGAAUGACAUUUUUCCUAGGCAUAUCUCUACCAUGCACAUAGGAAGAACUUGAGGCAAACAUGGCAUUUGAAUCAUAAGCAUUAAAACUCCUAUCAUGAUGAACAUUUCUAGAAAAUUUCCUAUCAUAAAUAAAUGCAUGAUUCUUUUGAGCACUAUUAGCCAUAGGAGCCUUCCCUUUCUCCUUGGCGGAGAUGGAAGCCUUAUGACUUGUUAAGUUAUUGGCUUCCCUUUGAAAACCAAGCCCAUCCUUAAUAGAGGGGUGUCUACCAAUAGUAUAGGCAUCCCUUGCAAAUUUUAGUUUAUCAAAAUCAUUUUUGCUAGUCUUAAGUUGGGCAUUAAGACUAGCCACUUCACCAUUUAAUUUUGAGAUGGAAAUUAAGUGUUCACUACAAGCAUCAACAUUAAAAUCCUUACACCUAUUGCAAAUCACAACAUGUUCUACACAAGAGCUUGAUUUAUUAGCUAUUUCUAACUUAGUAUUUAAAUCAACAUUAAUACUCUUUAAGCUAGAAAUAGAUUCAUGGCAUGUAGAUAAUUCACAUGAAAGCAUUUCAUUUCUUUUAACUUCUAAAGCAAAAGAAUUUUGCGCACUAACAAAUUUAUCAUGCUCUUCAUAUAAAAGAUCCUUUUGCUUCUCUAACAAUCUAUUCUUCUCAUUCAAAGCAUCGAUUAAUUCAAUCUUAUCAAUUUUAGUUCUAUCUAAACCUUUGAAUAAGCUUGCGUAGUCUACUUCAUCAUCACUAGACUCAUCAUCACUUGAAGAAGCAUAUGUAACAAUACUUCGAGUAUUUACCUUCUUUUCCUUUGCCAUGAGGCAUGUGUGAUGCUCGUUGGGGAAGAGAGCCGACUUGUUGAAGGCUGAGGCGGCGAGUCCUUCGUUGUCAGAGUCGGACGAGGAGCAAUCCGAAUCCCACUCCUUUCCAAGGUGUGCCUCGCCCUUCGCCUUUUUGUAGGUCUUCUUCUUUUCCCACUUUCCGCUCUUUCCUUGUUCCUGAUCACUAUCAUUGUCGGGAUAGUUAGCAAUAAAGUGACCAAUCUUACCACACUUGAAGCAGGAGCGCUUUCCCUUCAUCUUGCUCUUGUAGGGAUGCUCCUUGUGACCUUUGAGCGCCGUCUUGAAGCGCUUGAUGAUGAGGGCCAUUUCGUCCUCAUUUAGCCCGGCCGCCUCAACUUGUGCCACCUUGCUAGGUAGCGCCUCCCUGCUACUUGUUGCUUUGAGAGCAACAGUUUGAGGCUCGUAGAUCGGCAUUGGGCCAUUCAAUGCAUCAUCAACAUAUCUUGCCUCCUUGAUCAUCAUCCGCCCGCUUACAAACUUUCCGAGUAUUUCCUCGGGCGUCAUCUUGAUGUACCUAGGAUUCUCACGAAUAGAGUUUACAAGAUGAGAUCAAGGACAAUGAAGGACCUUAGCAUAAGUCGGACGACGUCGUGGUCCGUCCAUCUCGUGCUCCCAUAGCUCCUUAUCUUGUUGACCAGGGUCUUGAGCCAAUUGUACGUUUGAGUUGGCUCCUCUCCCCUUAUCAUUGCGAACCUUCCAAGUUCGCCUUCCACCAACUCCAUCUUGGUGAGCAUGGUGGCGUCGUUCCCCUCAUGCGAGAUCUUGAGGGUGUCCCAGAUUUGCUUGGCAUUAUCCAAGCCGCUCACCUUAUUGUAUUCUUCCCUGCACAAGGAUGCUAAAAGAACAGUAGUAGCUUGUGCAUUUUUAUGGAUUUGUUCAUUGAUAAACAUAGAAUUAUCCCAACUAUCAAAUUGCAUUCCAUUUUCUACUAUCUCCCAUAUACUUGGAUGAAGAGAGAACAAAUGGCUAAGCAUUUUGUGACUCCAAAAUCCGUAGUCCUCUCCAUCGAAGUGUGGAGGUUUACCAAGUGGAAUGGAAAGCAAAUGAGCAUUGGAAUUAUGCGGAAUACGAGAAUAAUCGAAAGAAAAGUUCGAGUUAACCGUUUUCUUUUUCUCCUCGUAUUCGUCGUCCUUUUGAGAAGAGGAAGAUUCGUCGCUGUCGUAGUAGACAUUCUUCUUGAUGCGCCUCUUCUUCUUUCCAUCCUUCUUCUUUUGACUUGCGCCCGAGUCAGUGGGCUUGUUGUCUUUUGGCUCAUUGAUGAAGGAUUCCUUCUCCUUGUCGUUGAUCACCAUCCCCUUUCCCUUAGGAUCCAUCUCUUCGGGCGAUUAGUCCCUUUCGUGAAGAGAACGACUUUGAUACCAAUUGAGAGCACCUAGAGCUCUUGUGAAACACAAUAAACACAGUGAGAACAAGCACAAGAGAUACGAGGAUUUAUCUCGUGGUUCGGCCAAGUAUAACACUUGUCUAUUCCACGUUGUGGCGUCCCAAUGGACGAGAGUUGCACUUAACUCCUCUCAAGUGAUCCAAUGAUCAACUUGAAUACCACGGUGUUCUUCUUUCUUUACUCUUUACCGUUUGCGAGGAAUCUCCACAACUUGGAGUCUCUCGCCCUUACAAUAAGGAUCAAAGUGAAAGCACUAGAGUAAGGGAGGGAAGCAACACACACAAAUCCACAGCAAUACGCACACACAUAGCUAAGACUUGAGCUCAAAUGAAUAACACAAGGUUCACCACUAGAACGGAGCUCAAAUCACUAAGAAUGCCAAUCGAGUGCGCAAAGACGGAGUGUGAAUGAUCAAGAAUGCUUAGAGUUUGCUUUGUGUGCUCCUCCAUGCCCCUAGGGGUCCCUUUUAUAGCCCCAAGGCAGCUAGGAGCCGUUGAGAGCAAUCCAGGAAGGCUAUCCUUGCCUUCUGUCGGGUGGUGCACCGGACAGUCCGGUGCACCACCGGACACUGUCCGGUGCUCAUUGCUUUCCUAUUCUGGCGUAGCCGACCGUUGAAGAUUUGGAGCCGUUAGCGCACCGGACACUGUCCGGUGCACACCGGACAGUCUGGUGCCCCUAUCAGACCGUUGGCUCGGCCACGCGUCACGCGCGGAUUGCGCGGCCGACCGUUGGCGUGGCCGACCGUUGGCUCACCGGACAGUCCGGUGCACCACCGGACAGUCCGGUGAUUUUUAGCCGUACGCCGCCGACGAAAUCCUGAGAGCGGCCAGUUUGACCAAAGCCAGCCUGGCGCACCGGACACUGUCCGGUGCACCACCGGAUAGUCCGGUGCACCCAGACUAAACAACAGUUAGCCAACUCUUUUUUUCUUUUGUCUUUUCUCUGAUUCUAGCACUUAGACAAAUAUGUUAGUACACAAAAACCAAUAUAUUAAGUCUAGAAUCAUACCUUUGUGUUGAUUUGCACUUCUUCCACCAUUUGGCAUAGUUUCACACUUAAACCAUUUGUGUUGGCACUUGAUCACCAAAAUACUUAGAAAUGGCCCAAGGGCACAUUUCCCUUUCAUAAAGUAUGUAGGACAUAAUAGGUCAGAGGACACUUGCCUUGACCAGGUUGUUGCUCAGGAAGAUCUUCGGCAACACACUCAGAAACCAUGAGCUGCUUGUUGUCUAAACAAAGUGGUCAUGCAUUCAAUACACUUGGAUAAAGACAAAGAACAAUACACCAAACAAACACAAUCAAGUGAACACAAGUUUGACAUAAUAGCAUAACACAAAAAGGUAAACCUAGUUGCUAGGGUGGAUUAGUACACUUAGAGAUUAGUGAUUCCCUAAAUAUUAUGCAUUACAUAAUUUAGUUCCACUAAUUUUAGUGAGGCACAAGAAUAUACCAGAGAUAAUUUCAUACAUGACAAAUUAUUAAUCUCACAAAAUUAAACACCUAAGUAUAAUUAGGGUUUUCCUUUUUAUUUUCUUACUUCAUAAACAAAUUAUUACAUACACUAACCUAUAGCUUAGGCAUAAAAUUAAAGUGUGCAGACAGUGAAUGAUCAUAAUUUAUUUAGACAGAGAAACAAUCCUAUGAACAUUUUGCAAUUUGAAUCACUCAAUUUGGAGUUCAUAUGAAAAGAUAUAAAUAAACAAGUUUUGUAGUUUAAAAUACAAAACUAGGUUUAAAUAUGUGAUUAAUUAAAAGGUCAGGGGUCUGUUUACAAGAAUACAGGGGCCUGCGCGCAAAACCUAAAGGAUGGCGGGUUGAUUCUCGGGAAACCAAGGGUUUCUUUAACAAAAUCACACGCGAAGGGGUAUCGGCUAAACGCGAUCGGACGGUUGCAGACCAAUGGCCAAGAUUAGUUCUAGUCAAGCGGAUGUGCGUGUGCGGACGAGAGCGUGGGCUGACCAGCAGGCCAGGGAUGUCAGUGACCCAGGUGCGGGACGGACUGACCGGCGGGGCCCAACAGCAGGGUGCGAGUGAGGAGGGCGGAUCCGAGCAGUAAGAUCUGAAUCGGAUAGUUAGGAUUAGAUCUAGAUUAAUUGAAGUCGGGGCGUCAGAUCAGAAUUGGGCGGUUAGGAUGGGUGACUGGGACUUCACCUUCACCGGUAAGCCAGGGGCGGCGUUCCCCACGGACACAGUGGCGCCGUCGCCGGCGGCGAGGCAGGCUGGGGCUCCUAAGGCGCUAGGGGUUGGUCUGGAUAACCAGAUAGGUUGGGGAUGACUCAACAAACACUAAGGCGAGGCCAGGAUUGCGUGAACCAUGAAUAGGGCUAAGGCGGACAGACGACAGAGGGGGGCCCUCGGGUGAACCCAGGGCUGCUCCGGCAAGCAAUACCUGUCGCAGUGGGCAUUAAUUCGGCGCUCUAAUGCCGACAUAGGUUCUAGGGAGAGGGUAGCAGUGCUCUAGGCCUGAGUUUGGGCUCAGGGAGGGGUUGCAGUGGCCGGACGCCAUGAAGAAGUGGUGGUCCAACGAAGGGGGGCUCCGGCGAGACGAAAUUCACCACGGUGAAGCGUGAUUGGCGCAAAAUAAGGACGAGGUAGGGUCACUUACCCAGACACGGUGCUUGGGGCAGCUUGGCACGGCGCGGGGAGGCUCCGGUUGGCCGGGCGUCGAAGAAUCACGGUGGCGGCAAGCUCCGACCUGUGCAGGGGAGAGGCUGAGCACGGACCGCGCAGAGGAGUUGAGGAAAGGGGAAAGCACAGGGGAAUCCCAGUGUCCCAAUCUCAGGCGAAGCUCACUAUGGCCAAAGCGAUGGCAGAAGUGCAGCGGCGACGGCAGAACGGCGAAGCGACAGCGGGGGAAGGCAGCGCUGCGGUUGGGUGAGUGCGAGGGCGGGGGGAGCGUGAAUGUGAGGCAGGGCGAGCUGAGGGAGUGUGUGGGGUAUUUACCUAGUGCUCGGGUGACGUGGGCGGGUCGUGGGGACGUGGGCGCGGGUCUGACGGCGCGGGUGCACGCCAUGGGCGCGGCGGUUGCGGACGAAGGGGCGGGUCUGACGAGCAGGGCCCGCGAGCCAGCGAGAGCGGGUGUGCGCGAGCACGCAAUGGUGAUGACAGGGCAGUCCCACUAGGCAUAUAGAGAGGAGGAGAGCGAGCGAGCGCAGCGCGGCGCCAACAGGUGGGGCCCACCUGCCAGCGGACGCGGGCGCGCGUGAGGGGUGUUAACUGGGCCGGCUUGGGCCGAAAGGCCGAGGAGGGAGGGACUUCGGGAUGUUUUCUUUUUAUUUUCUGAAUUUCUAAUCAUUUUGCUUUUAUUUUCUCAAUUCCAUUUCAAAUACCAAUUAAAAUUCAAACUAUUUCAAACAUGUGCAUUAAACAAAAGAACAAAUUAGGAUCAGCAUGAUGCAAUAUUUCAUGACUCACAUAGUUUUGACAAAGUAAAUAAUUAAUCCCUCUCCUAAUUAACUUAAUUCUAAUCAAAAGAAAGAGAUAGAGAGAGACUAAAGAUAUAGAGAUUAGAGAUAACACUUGAAUUUGGUAGAUAUUUAGAAAGAAAUUUUACACCCCCAAAUUCAGGGUGUUACUAUUAAGGUCUUAGAGGAUGACCAUGGUAUCAUGAAAAGCAAUGUGUGAUAAAGCGAUGGACAAACAUGUUCGUGCUGGUCGAAUCCUAAUGAAAAGACCUGGUGUUGUGGUGCCUGAGGACAUUGUUGCUGACGUGCUUGCUGGGUCUGCUGGUAUGAGUAAACCUUCUCCUUCUGGUGAUCCUGUUGGUAAGGUCCCCUGCGAGAAUGCUCCUGCACAAUAAUUGUGUAAUAAAGACAAAUUUUGAUUCGUUUGAACAUAAAACACUUUUCAUUGAGUUGGUAUUUCUCGUCGAGAUGGCGCAUGAUAGAGCCAUGUAUGCGUGAGCAUGCUGUGUCGACUUAAGGUUUUUCUGACUUCAGACGUUUACGACUUAAGUCGAUUGCUUUGUUAGUAGGGUAUAAUAAUCACCCUAAGUUAUGUAAGCGCGAGCAUGUCGCACCGAUCGCGUCGCUAGCCCGGUCACAGGAGCGAGGAAGGCGCUGACAAGCGGGACCCGCUUGCCAGAGAGAGAGAGAUAGCGAGAGAGCGAGGGUGAGAGCGGCUGGCGGGUGGGGCCGGGCUGGCAGCGGCGGAGGGGAGCGCGGGCGCGCGGGCGAUGGGCCGCUUGGGCUGCGAGGGAGAAAGGGAGGCGCGGGCGCGCGGGAGAGAGAGAGAGAGGGGGUUUGGGCCGGAAAUGGCCCAGCCGAGGGGGGGGAAGUGUUUUACUUUUUCUUUUUCUAAUUUCUAUUUCCUAUUUCUAUUUCUUUUUUUCUAUUUCUUUUAUCUCUUUUUCUUUUGAACAAAUAAUUAGCUAAAUAAUCUUAGGUGCUAGAAAAAAUAUUCUAUGUGAGGUGCUUCUAACAAUCAUAGUGUAUGCAAAUGAUGAGAUAUCCAAUGAGGUGGAGUCUAGGGAGCAAUUAGGGGGGUUAGGAGAUUAGGGUUCCAAACCUUUGGUUAAAUUUUGGGAUGUUACAAACCUACCCCACUUAAAGGAAUCUCGCCCUCGAGAUUCAGACUGGGCUUGAGAAAAGGUAAGGGUAUUCCCUCCUCAAGGAGUCCUCACUCUCCCAGGUAGCUUCCUCUUCUCCUUCUCUGCUCCACUAAACUUUACACAGUCUCACUUCUGAGUUGCGGGUCUUUCUGACUGCCGAGUCAAGAAUCUUUACUGGCUUCUCUCGGUACUGAAGAUCUUUCUGAAUCUGGAUUGUCUCUUCUUCGAUGUGACUUUCUAGUACUUGCAGGCAUUUGCGGAGCUCGGACAUGUGAAACACAUUGUGGAUAUCUGACAUAGAUUCUGGCAAUUCAAGGCGGUAUGCUGCGGGUCCUACUCUGCCAAUGAUAGGAUAGGGGCCGACGAACCGCGGGGCUAGCUUCCCUUUCACUUGAAACCUUUUGACUCCGCGCAUCGGGGAGACCUUGAGGUAGACGAAGUCUCCUUUCUCAAAUUUGAGUUCUCUCCGCCUGUUGUCUGCAUAACUUUUCUGCCAACUCUGAGCUUCAAGUAAUCUUUUGCUGAUCAGGGCGACUUUCUCUUCUGCCUCUUUAACAAAGGCAGGUCCUUCUAGUGUCUUUUCCCCUACGUUGGACCACAUUAAAGGGGUCUGGCACUUCUGUCCAUACAAUGCUUCGAACGGUGACAUCUUGAUACUGGCCUGGUAGUUGUUGUUAUACGAGAACUCUGCAUAAGGCAAACUGGACUCCCAUUUUUUGUCAAACGUCAACAAACGGGCUCUUAAUAAAUCCUUGAGGACCUUGUUGACCCUUUCUGUCUGACCAUCUGACUGGGGGUGAUAAACGGUGUUGAAGUCUAGCUUGGUGCCCAUAGCUUGCUGAAGGCUCAUCCAAAAUUUUGAAGUGAACUGUGUUCCCCUGUCUGACACUAUCUUCCGUGGAAUACCAUGGAGUCUGACUAUCUCUUUAAGAUAUAUCCGGGCAAGGGUGGCUCCUCCAAAGGUAGUUUUCAUUGGGAUGAAGUGGGCUACCUUGGUAAGAUGGUCUAUUAUCACCUAGAUAGAGUCGUUCCCUUUUUGGGUCCGGGGCAGUCUGGUUACAAAAUCCAUGCCUAUUUCCUCCCACUUCCAUUCGGGCACUGGAAGGGGUUGCAAUAGGCCUGCAGGCUUCUGAUGCUCGGCCUUAGUUCGUUGGAAAGUGUCGCACCGGGCCACAUACUGUGCUAUCUAUUUCUUCAUUCCUCUCCACCAGUAUCUGGUUUUGAGGUCUAGGUACAUCUUGGUGGUCCCUGGGUGGAUAGAGUAGGCUGAGUUGUGAGCUUCGUCAAGCAGAACUUCUCGUGCCUCUCGUUUUGGUACACACAGACGGUUCUUGAACCAAAGGACUCCUUCCUCAUCUGUCCUGAAGUCCGGAAGUGGUUUCUUGCGAGCUUUUUCCAUAAGACCUGUUGUCUCAGUGUCCAGGCGUUGAGCCUUGCAUAUGAGGUCUUCUAGCAUUGGCUUGACUUCUAGGCUGCCAUUGUCUCCCAGACAUGCAUUCAGCUGAGCUGAUUCUUUCUUCCAAUCUUCUAAGAAGUUGGUUCUUUUUUCCCGAAAGGUUUUCGGCUGAGGGCGUCUGCUACCACGUUGGCCUUCUCGGGGUGGUAGUGGAUUUCAAGGUCAUAAUCUUUGAUCAAUUCCAGCCAUCUUCGCUGACGGAGGUUGAGGUCUGGCUGAGUGAAGAUAUACUUCAGACUCUUGUGUUCGGUGAAGAUGUGACAUUUGUUCCCAAUUAGGUAGUGCCUCCAUAUUUUUAGGGCAUGCACUAUGGUUGCUAACUCCAAAUCGUGUGUGGGAUAAUUCUGCUCGUGUGGCUUCAGUAAGCGUGAUGCAUAUGCAAUGACUUUCUCAUUUUGCAUAAGUACACACCCUAAGCCUUGCCUUGAAGCAUCACAGAAGACGACGAAAUCCUGAUGGAUGUCUGGCAACGUCAAAACGGGUGUGGUUGUGAGCUUCUUCUUUAUGAUUUGGAAGCUUUCUUCACACUUCAGGGUCCACACAAACUUAUUGUCUUUCUUGAGGAGCUCGGUCAUUGGUCUUGCUAUGCUGGAGAAUCCUUUGAUAAAACGUCGGUAAUACCUUGCCAUUCCCAGAAAGCUUCGAACCUCACUAACGUUGGAUGGCUGCUUCCAUUUGGAUACUGCUUCUACCUUGGACGGGUCUACUUCUAUUCCUUCUGCAGUCAAGAUAUUCCUAAGGAAGGCUAUCUUUUCUAACCAGAAUUCACAUUUGCUGAGCUUAGCAUAGAGUUGAUGUGCUCUGAGUCUUUCGAGGACAAUCCGGAGGUGAUGCUCAUGAUCUUCGUGGCUCUUGGAGUAGAUAAGGAUGUCGUCAAUGAAGACUACGACAAACUUGUCCAGCUCUUCCAUAAAUACCUUAUUCAUGAGGUUCAUGAAAAAGGCGGGUGCGUUGGUUAGUCCGAAGGACAUUACUGUGAACUCAUAUUGUCCGUACCGGGUGACAAAUGCAAUUGAUUCUCAGCUGGUGAUAUCCUGACCUUUGGUCUAUCUUGGAGAAAUACUUGCCCCCUUGAAGCUGGUCGAAGAGGCCGUCGAUCCGAGGGAGUGGAUACUUGUUUUUUAUUGUAACUUCAUUCAAGGAUCGGUAAUCAAUACACAUCCUCAUACUUCCAUUCUUUUUGGUGACGAAAAGGACUGGUGCUCCCCAAGGAGACGAGUUGGGACGAAUGUACCCUUUUUGCUGGAGCUCUGCGAUCUGGAGUUUUAAUUCUGCUAGUUCGGUGGGAGCCAUGCGGUAUGGUCUCUUUGCGAUGGGCGCAGUGCCGAGGAUUAGAUCUAUGUAGAACUCCACUUCUCUUUCUGGCGGCAUUCCUGGCAAUUCUUCUGGGAAUACAUCCAUGAAUUCUUCUACCACAGAUAUGCUUUCUGCUGCUAGAUUAAACACCAUUGGAUCCUUGGCGGGUGGCUGAGCCUGACAAGAAACUGACUUUCCUUGGUGGUCCGUGAGAAGAACAGUCUUAUUUGCGCAACUUAUGAUGCCCUUGUGUUUGGUUAACCAAUCCAUUCCUAAGAUCACAUCAAUCCCUUGGGAUGGCAAGACGGUCAAGUUUGCCAAGAACACUACCCCACUUAAAAGAAUUCUGACUUGGGAGCAUUUGAGCUGGCAUAAAAGGUCUGACCCUGGGGUUCGGGUGACCAAGGGAAUUUCUAGGUGGGUAGAGGGAAUGUCAUGCUUUUCCACAAAACUAGUGGAUAUAAAUGAAUGGGAUGCUUCUGAAUCAAAAAGUACAGUAGCGGGAGUAAAUUCAACAAGGAACUCAUCGAGCACUACUCCCGGAGCUUGCUGAGCCUCUUGAGCAUCGACGUGGUUUACUCGUGCCCUGCCAUGAUACUGGGUCUUGCUCUGCUGGCUGAUGGAGGAGGGCGCCUUGGAGGCGGGCGCUGGGGCAUUCUUCGGGCCAUUCACCGAGUUGGAGUAAGUCGGUCAUGAUGCCUUCAACUGGGGGCAGUUAUUCUUGAAGUGACUGGGGUCUCCGCAGUGCCAACAGGCAUUUGCUGGUGGUUGGUUGCUUGCGACUGAGGGAGCCUGAAAAGAGCUCUGACUCUGCUGAUUGAAACGUGACGGAGUGGGUCCAGCUGGUCUAUUGAAGCUUGAUCCCUUGGGUGGAAACCCAAAGGAUCGAGUUCUCUGGUGCCGGUCUUGCUGCUGAGCUCGGAGGACUUGGAAUUUCCUCUUGAGGUGACUUUUUUCUUCUUCCCUUGCUCUUUCCACUUGUAUGGCUUUGUUUGAGAGGUGCGAGAAGCUGAGGAAAUCUUGGCUGGCAAGGAUGGUCUUGAGUUCUGGUCUUAGCCCUUUCAGAAAAUGGGCCAUCUUCUUGGCUUCUGUGCUGACGUCGUCAGGCACGUAGCGAGCCAAUUCUGUGAAUUUGUGCACGUACUCACUGACAGAUCUUCCACCUUGAGUUAGUUACCGAAAUUCAUCUUCCUUGAGCUGAACAAUCCCUUGGGGCACAUGAUGCUCUCGGAAAGCAGUUUCAAAUUCUGCCCAGGUAGCAUCUCUGACGACAGCGCUGAAGGUAUCCCACCAUGAUAGGGCCAUCUCGGAAAGUUGAUGAGCAGCCAAUUGAACACGCUGAUUCUCAGGGCAUCCGAUGGCUUCUAACUUCCUUUUUAUCGUGUGCAGCCAGUCAUCGGCAUCGAGGGGAUUGCUGGAUCCAGCGAAUGCGGGAGGCUUGAGCCUCAGAAAAUCUCCCAUCUUGUCUUGUGGUCUUCCACCAUUCGUGCGCUGAUUCUCCAGACUUCUAGUGAGGACUUCAAUGAGUCGGGUUUGGUUGGCUAGAACUUGGGCUAAAUCUAAUGGCAGCUCCAGAGGUGCGGAGAGGUGGGUCUCACUCCCUUCUCCACCGGCUUUUCCUUCAGCUCCUAGGGGAAACCCUGCUCCAAUCCCGGAGGCGGUAGGCGUGGUUUUAUCCGAAGCCAUCUGCCAGGGGGAGAGAAUUACUACUAUGCAUAUGCCAAUUUUUUUUCAACCAUGUUAUUUUAUUCAUCACACCAGUUCAUUACAAGCAUUCAGUUACCACAAGUCGCACUACACACAGCGCUUUCUAAGGUACUUCCGAACUCCCUUUCUAAAGUGUCCCCAAAUUCCUUGAGAAGGUCGUCAAGGCUAGCUAGGGACAUGUCCUCGACGUCGGACAAGUUCUCUAUCCUGGAGGGAGGUAGUGCUGGAGGGGCUUCCUUCUUCCGCUCAGUUUGGCAUCCUUGGUUCUUGGUCUUCUUUCGGUUUUUCUUCGUGGGGGCGAGCUUCUUUAGCUUCUUAUCAUAAUCCAUCUUCAGGGUUCGGUAGGCUUCACGAGUGUUGGUCUCUUCACCUUCUGCUAUUUCGAGACUCUCUUGGAGGGAUGCCUUCUCCUUUUUAAGUUCCUUGACCUGUUGUUCUAAGCUUUCCACCCAGGAGUUUAGGUGGGUGUAGUGGGAGGAAAGGUCAUCAUAGUGGUUAUCGAGAGUGUGGAGACAUCCGGCCAUGUAGACGAUGGUGGGGUCAUCCUCAGUAGGAUCUCUUCCUGAUAGGGCCUGAAGUCUUUUCCUCCAGUAGGGGUAUUUUUGUUGCUGGGUGGGAAGUAACGAAGGGGGGUUUCAAAGACCUCUCUGCUGUAGUUUUGGCAUAGCUGUCGGAGGGCUUUUCGGGCAACAUUUUGGCAAGUGUCUAGGAAGCGGUGUCCAGUGAAGGUGACUUGGAAAGGAGGGUGGUUUGGGUAGCUUCGGCUUUCUCCCAGGUAGACUGCCAUAGAGCACUUCUCAGUUCCGUUCUCGUGGUAUUCUUUCCAGACGUACUCUGGCUUCUUGCGGAUCCCCAUGCGAAGCACGCAACUCCGCAAGAGAUGAGGGAAUCCUUCCACCUCUGAGCAGUAGGAUGUCCUAAUGACCAAAGAGCCUUCCAUCCGGUAGAAGAAAAGAAGGGUCUCUUAAUAUCGGGGGAAAGGAGAGAAGAUUUUCUUAGAGGUAAGAGGUAUUUUCUUUUUAAGGCAAACUUUUAUGGUCGGGGCUGCGAUCUACGGCCAGUCCUAUGGGCUCUGAUACCACCUGAAGCGUCCUGAUCCUUUGGGACUCAAAUGUGAAACAAUUACUAGUCCCAGGAGGCUAGUAACCACAUUCCUUACUUCAAAUAGUACAGAGUUCGAAUAAUAGUUAUUACAAUACCAGGGUACAAGCUCGAGAGAGCUAGAAUUACAAAGCGCAGUAGAAGAUAAACUAGCCCAAGCCACAGGCGGAACUGGGUGCAGACACAGCCCCCUCAAUCAAGCAUAGCAGAAAAGAAGUCUUCAGCUGCUGAAAAACAUAAAUAAAUUUGGGUGAAUACACUAGGUAAUCCGCAAGCCCAUCCCGCUCCCGUAAAUAGAAAGGGACCUAUAUAAUACAUGCUUUAUAUGGUGGAGUUGAAGUCACUCUUCUUUUUCUCAGAGAAAGGCAAUACUUUGAUGGUUUUUCCCAAAGAAGGAAAUAGCACUUUUUCACACUCAACCACCACUGAGCUUCCCGCUCCUGUGGCAUCGUUUCUUUUCCAAAAACACACCCACUCACACAUUUCCCUAUUCUCGGAGGUUGUAAAACACUAAUUGUCAUACCACACCAGACUCGUCCAUUCCAGUGGACACGGACUAUUCGAAUAGGUUUGAACUCUGCGCAGAGGAGUACACUUUACCCACUAGUUCGAUUUCUGCGAUCUCACCGUCGUGAGACCCGAAUGAUGAAUCUCUCUCUUUCCUCGCACGUCCUUACCUUAACGGUUAUACCGGAAGGAGUCAGGCCACCGCCAUGUCCAAACCGGACAAAACAUUCCCCCUCCUUAUCCUCCCGGUGCUCCCCAGCCUUCAUAACCCUGGGGUUUGGACUAUACGAGUUCAAAUUGAGUGACUGCCCAUACAGUCUCGAGUGGUUGUACUUAUCAUGAGUACAUGUAGUGAAGGAUGACAAAUCAGUCCUUAUAUGAGGGGACAAUCCUUCUGCUCACACCUAAACUGGCUGAGCCAUCACCUUAGGCCCUCCCCUAAACCAGGGAGUCCCUGAUCAUCCCACUCACAAGGUGAUGAGGGUGAAUACCCUUCAUCAUACACUUUUUGAAAACAUCCCUUAGUAAAAACACUGCCCUUUUUCCCAUCCUACAUUUUGUACUCAAAAGAUGUUUGUUAAUGUGGGCUAUCUCUCUGCUCACAAUGCAAAAGAUCCAUCCCUUAAUCCCGGCUUAGGUAGUGGUAGAAAAAAUAGGUAAUUUAUGCAUCAAGGGAAGAAUGGACUUGCCUUCGUCGAAGCUCUCCUGGCACAAAAGAUCUAUCUCGGAGAGGUUGGGUUCCUGCCCUUCUUCCGGAGCUACAAAUUUCGGAGGAUCGGAUCCCUCUUCUUCUAGCAAAAAUAGAUAAUGAACGGUACAUCAAUCAUGGUGACUUGGUGGGGUGUGCCAAUUUUUAGACAUUAUUAUUUUGUGCCCUAAAAUUUAUUUAGACUAUUUUUGGUGCAUAAAAUAUCAAUAUAUAUAUAGGAAAGGAAAAAGGAAAGGGUUUUCUCUGCUAGCUGGGCCGGGGGGAGAUUUUGGCCCAGCCGGGCGCGGGCGCGCGGCGCCGCGGCAAAAUAGGCCCAGACGGCCCACGAGGAGAGGGGACGGCGCGGCGGACGCCGUGGGUGUGGGCCCACGCGCCAGAGAGAGGAGGGGGGUGACGGCGUCAGUGGGGAGGAGGGCGGUCUUCGGCGGUGAGAACAGGUCGCCGGUGAACCCGACGGCGGUUCCUCGCCAGUGGUCUGGUUCUGUGUGGACGGAAUGGUGGCAAAGCACGAGCGGAGGUAGGGGGUCACGGAGGUGGAGUCAAUUUGGCCGGUGGAUGCCCGGAAUGGCCGGUCCAUGGCGGGUGGCGGGCUCCGCGGCGGUGAGACCACCGGCGAGGCCAACGGGUGAAAUAGGCAAGGGGGAAAAGGUGUGUCGUGCUCGCGGUGAAGUGGCGGAGCUCAAGAGCUACACUAAUUUGACUAGAACCCAACAGAGAGGGGAAGGGGGGAGCUCACCAGAGAUGAAGAUGACGGCGACGCUGGCUCAAUUGAGCUCGGGGAAGGGGGAAGAGAUGGCCGAGGCCGGGGUGAGGAAUUGGGGAGCUCGGGGCGCUCCUUUUAUAGGCGCCCAGGGCGGGGAAGGGGGCGAGAGGUGGCGAGCACCGGCGAGCUUGCCACGACGGGGAUGGUGGUGCACAGUGGUGACGACGGGAUGGCUCGGGCAGACGGGAUGGCUUAGGCAGACGCAAGACGCCAAACCGAGCUGGUGAGCGCGAUAAUGGCGAGGCAACGAAGUGGGCAGUGGCCGGCGGCGAUCGCUUCGCUAGCCCGGUCACGGGCGCGAGGAAGGCGCUGACAAGCGGGACCCACUUGCCAGAGAGAGAGAGAUCGCGAGAGAGCGAGGGUGAGAGCGGCUGGCGGGUGGGGCUAGGCUGGCAGCGGCGGAGGGGAGCGCGGGCGCGCGGGCGAUGGGCCGCUUGGGGCGCGAGGGAGAAAGGGAGGCGCGGGCGCGUGGGAGAGAGAGGGGGGUUUGGGCCAGAAACGGCCCAGCCGAUGGGGGAGUGUUUUCCUUUUCCUUUUUCUAAUUUCUAUUUCCUAUUUCUAUUUCUUUUAUCUCUUUUUCUUUUGAACAAAUAAUUAGCUAAAUAAUCUUAGGUGCUAGAAAAAAUAUUCUAUGUGAGGUUCUUCUAACAAUCAUAGUGUAUGCAAAUGAUGAGAUGUCCUAUGAGGUGGAGUCUAGGGAGCAAUUAGGGGGGUUUAGGAGAUUAGGGUUCCAAACCUUGGGUUAAAUUUUGGGAUGUUACAUGUGAGUAUAUCCUCCUUGAGCUUUUUUGAAUGGCCCAAUCAUAUCUAGCCCCCAGCAUGCAAAGGGCCAGGUUACAGGAAUAGUUUGCAAAUGUUGGGUGGGCAAGUGUUGCUGCUUUGAUAGGAACUGGCAUGCUUCGCAUUUCUGAACCAACUCUGCCGCAUCUUUCUUUGUUAAAGGCCAGUAGAACUCGGACCUGAAACUUUCACUACCAAUAUCCUUGAUGCCGCAUGUACACCACAUUGCCCUACAUGGAUUUCAUCCAGUAGCUGUCUUCCUGUAGCCAAAUGAACGCACUUCAUGAGGACUCCUCCUGCACCUCUUCUAUACAGCAGACCCCCUAUGAUGGUAUAGUGGGUCAACCGUCUUGCGAUGCGCUCUGCCAUGGCCUUGUCAUCCGGUUCUUCCUUGUUUUUAUGUACUUAAUAAUUGGCUCCCUCCAGUCGUUGGGAUCUGCUUCUGCUUGGUCUAAGGCGUUGCACUCCUCAACCUGCUCUACGGUGACGCUCAAUUGCCAUACCUCUUGGACGAAAAUCCCAGGAGGAACCUAGGCCUGACUGGUCCCCAAUUUUGACAAUGCAUAUGCUGCUGCAUUGUGAUCCCUUUUCAUGUGGUGAAAUUCUAAACCCUCGAAUUUGUCUUCCAGCUUCCGCACCGCAGCGUAAUAUCUGUUCAUUGAGUCGGUUGAGCAGUCCCAGUCCUUGUUUACCUGGCUGAUGACUACCAGUAAGUCUCCGUAUACCAUUAACCUUUUGAUGCCUAGUGAAAUGGCGAUGCUGAGCCCGUGAACCAGGGCUUCGUACUCCGUGGCAUUGUUGGAUGUUGGAAACAGGAGCUGAAGCGCAUACUUAAGUUGGUCACCUCCAGGGGCAACAAAAAGGAUCCCUACUCCUGCCCCCUGCAAUCUUAACGAGCCGUCAAAGUACAUUUUCUAGACUUUAGGAGCUUCUAGGUUUUCUAGGACCUGGUGCUCGGUCCAUUCUGAUAUGAAAUCGACCAGUGCUUGAGUCUUUAUUGCAGUACGAGGUCGGAAUUCUAUAUCAUGAGCUCCGUGUUCACAUGCCCAUUUGGUUGUUCUUCCAAUAGCUUCCUUAUUGUGGAGUAUAUCUCGUAGUGGGAAUCUUGUGACUACUAUGACUUUGUGGUCGUCAAAAUAGUGUCGGAGUUUUCGAGCAGUUAGAAGUACUGCAUGUAAUACCUUCUGAACUUGAGGAUACCUUAUCUUUGAGGGACCGAGGACUUCACUGAUAAAGUAAACCGGAUGUUGUAUUAGAUACACACGCCCUUCUUCUGCCCGCUCGACUACCAAUGCAGUGCUUACCACGUGAGUCGUGUAGGAGAUAUAUAACAGCAGGUCUUCAGUCGAUGGAUCGGAUGUAGCUUGACGCGGUGGCUUGAGUACUGGCGGUGUGGGUUAGAAACUUCUUUACUACUUCUAAGGCUUCUUGAGCUUCUGUGGACCACUAGAAUUUAUCCACCUUUUUGAGCAGUUUAUAGAAUGGAAUCCCUCUUUCACCAAGUCUUGAAAUAAAUCUACUCAGCGCUGCCAUGCACCCAGUGAGCCUCUGUAUUUUUCCUCGUCUUCCUUUGCCAAACUGAUCUGAUGAUAUCCAUAGUAGCAAUCUAGGAAGGAGAGCAUAGAACAACCAGCGAUCGAAUCAACUACUUGAUUUAUUCUAGGGAGUCCAAAGGGGUCCUUAGGACAGUGCUUAUUGAGAUCGGUAUAGUCGACGCACAUGCGCCAAUCAACUUUAUUCUUUUUUAGUACAAGAACAGGAUUUGCUAGCCAUUCAGAAUGUAGUACUUCUCUAAUGAAUCAUGCCGAUACCAGGCGAGCUAAUUCCGCCUGAAUGGCUUCUCUUUUGUCAGGCGUGAAACAACGUAGCUUCUGUCGGAUUGGCCUUGCCUGAGGGUACACUUUGAGUUUGUGCUCGGUCAGCUCUCUCGGGACUCCCGGCAUGUCCACAGGUUUCCAUGCGAACAUGUCUCGAUUGUCUUGCAGGAACUAGAUGAACGCGCUUUCCUAUUUGUCGUCGAGGCUGGAACUGAUGAUUGCGGUCUUGCGUUCAUCAGAGAAUCCAAGAUUGAUCCUUUUAGUUUCUUCAAUCGGACGAAUAGAGGUCACGGUCGAGGCUUCAUUCAAAGAGAUUUUGAACUUUUCUUCCACCAGCUUGCCAUCGACUUAUGCGGGAAGGGCUACCGGGGGCCCGGCGAUGAGAGUCGUCUGAAUGGCACCCCGAAAGCAUUCUGCGACGCCUUGGAAGUCAGCGCGCACGGUGAUGAUCCCUUGAGGUCUUGGCAUUUUGAGUAUCAUAUAUAGGAAGUGUGGGAUAGCCAUGAAUUUCACCAACCCUGGUCUUCCAAUGAUGGCGUUGUACCCGCAAUCAAAGCGUGCCACCUCAAACCUUAGGAACUCAGUUCGGUAGUUCUCUGGGGUUCCAAAGGUGAAGGACAUGUAGAUGUGUCCCAGUGGGUACUCCCCUUUGGUCGGCAUGAUGUCGAAGAAAGGAGUAUCUGACUCAGUGAGGUCGUCGAUGGUGACCCCAGGGCCUGAAGCGUUCGGGGAAAUGUGGCGUUGAUGCUGCUGCCACCAUCCACCAUCACCUUCUUAACCCGGCUUUCCUGAAUCACUGGAUCAACGAGUAGUGGAUAUUUGUCGGGGUGAUCGAAGUUAAGCCACUUAUCAGCUCGGCUGAAGGAUAUUGUGUGCUUCGACCAUCGGUAAGGAGCUAGAGCACUAUUUGUGGCCACCAGAACUUGUCGGUCAUUAAGUUUCUGUUGCCUUCUGCUUUCUUGUGCUUUGUGGCCUCCGAAUAUCACAUUGACCUCCCUGUCAACACGCGGGAAAGCUCCACCUCUCCCUCCUUCCUGUUGUUGAGGUUGCCUAGGCUCAUUAGGCUCUCCUCGAGGCGGGGGAGGCGGCAGUGGCUAGAACGGUCGGCCAUGCCCGACGGAGUUAUUGAAAUCCCUGUAGUUUCGUAGGGUGUGCCGCAUGUCCUUGUGAUAUGGGCACUGAGAAUCGAGGAUCUCGUCCAGUGUUUGUACCCCUCCGUAGGGUGCAUCGCGGGCUCGGGCGGCAGGUGGCCGAUGGUGUGCACCUCCUCACGAGGUCUCUUCUCCCAGUGUUUGUCUAGUUGCUGGUUCAUGUCCCUUCGCGGUGCGGGCAGUAUGGGCUUUGCGCCUCUAAUGAGGUCCUGACCCGCUCAUCCGUGGUGAUGUAGACGUCUACCUCCCUGAACAGUUGUUCAGAGGUGGCAGGUGCCUUUUGAAGUAUGGCCCAGAGAAAGGCCGGGUCAUUGGAUCCCCAAUAGAAGUCUUCAAUCACAGCCGCCUCAGCGACCUCGGGAAUACGGUUCCUCAUCAUUUGAAACCUUUUGAGGAACAAACAAAGAGUUUCUUCAUUACGCCGCCUAAUGGAUUUGCGGUCCCAUGGCUGUGCCAGUUUAUCGGACAGAGACUGGAAAUUCACGAUAAACUGGUGACUAAAAUCUCCCCAAUCGUCGAUGCAGUGUCGAGGCAGGUGCUGGAGCCAUUGCAGUGUGUCCUGCCCCAGAACGAUGGGCAAGUACGCUGUCAUGACGUUCUCCAUUGCCCCAGCAGCCCGGGCGGCGGUUGUAUAGACAGUCAACCAGCCCCCUGGGUCCUGCUUAGGCUCAUAUUUGUCGACGUUGGAGACCUUGAUAUUAGGAGGCCAAUGGAUGGCCCGGAGGCGAGGGGUAAGCGCGGAGAUCACGCACGUAUCCUCUUGUCGAUGAUCAUGUCGUCGAUCCUAGGGAGGGGAGUGAGUAUUAGGUCGCCUCGACCGUCCCCAGACCGGACUGUUGGUUGAGGCUGCUGCUGACUCAAUUCGGGUUGCGUGGUUGUGUACCGGUACACCAUGAUCUCGGUCGUAUUCCUCUCGGCGCCUUAUCUCAUUCUCGUGCCGAUGAUCGCGUGAAGCGCUGAUGUUGCUCCGCAUGUCUCGUCGGCUGUUGAUGGCAUGACGCAGGUCAUUCGGCGGGUGGUCGACAGGUAGAAGAUGAUUGGCUACCUAAGUAAGCACCGUUGAUAAUCCUCCACGUCUGGGGUCCACGGGAGGCCAUUGGCUAUCUGCUCCAGUACUCCUCCAACUUCAGUCGGCGUGUUCAAUGCUCGGGCGAAGUCAGGGUACAAGUUUCGGGCGAGAAGCAUAUUCUCCCGUUGGAGCCUAGCAUCUUGUUCAGCUAGUUCCCACUCUCGUUCUUAAGCCUGACGACGAUCGCGGGGGCGGGAGUUGCGUCGUUCUCGAUGUGUUCUUUCGUCGGGGGUUUCCCCCAUCUCUGAGGCUUCGUCGCGAGAGACAGGUUGUGUCGGGUCCCGUUCUCCGGCUUCGUGAUGUCGUCGCACGUUUUGGCACCUAUUUCUCCAUCGCCGAGCAUCACGCUGGGGAGGUUCCUCCCCCAGCAUGGUGGGUUCAUUGUUAGAGAUGGGUGAUGACUCCAGUCUCCCCUGAAUGAAGAGGACGUUGGGGUAGAAAGGAGCAGGUACGGUGGUGUGCUUCUUCUCAUCCUCCUUUGAGGGCGGAGGUGUUGGGAGGAUUGCUCGUUGUGUUCUUCUUCCCCUGUAUGGAACAUUUGCUUCCCUUCUUCGAGUGAUCUGUGUACACUCCUUAAUGGGCAAGGUGGACAACGGAGUUCGCCGGGCUAAGGAGGCCAUGGUUGACUGGCCUUCCACCCUCUAGGGACUUUUGAGCCCAGACUUGCGCGGGGCCAUGCCUCGUCGUGCUGUGAGAGGGGGUAUGACUCGCAGUUUCCCUCCAGCUUCCUAUGGAAUUUCCGAGGAGGGUUUCUUCUUGGGUGGAGUUGCUAUGCGGUGCAGAGUUUCCUCUUCGUCCGCUACGCAUGAAAUGGUCCCGAAGCAGAAAAUAGCUCCCGGGCUGAAGGUGAUCUUGCUCUUGAAGAUGAUGGUCAUGGAGUUAGCAUUGAUCGACGACACACCCCCUACCUGGCGCGCUAGAUGUCGGUGUUUAGUGUCCGACCGCACACCUGGGGGUACCCUCGUGGUGCUUUUGGGUAUGACGCUGUCGUGGAUCGUAACUCGAUGGUUCGUGUCAGGGCAUGAGAGAGAGAGUCAAGCGAGUUUCAGCAGGUUUGGGCCACUUUGAGGAGCGUAAUACCCUACUUCCUGGGUGGCUUUGUAUGUGGGAAGUGUUUACAAGUGGUGUCUACCGAGUUGUGAGGUGUUGAUGAGAUGAUAGUGAAGGGGAUCCCCCUUGGCCUUAUAGACACGACCGUGGGGUGCUUCCCGCGUACAUGUUGAUCGCACUUUUCCUGCUUAUCUCCUAGCUAAUAGCGAACAAACUUCAUUGUCCCGAGGAAAUCCGGUGCCUCCGCUCUGAGCUAUCAUUGGCGUUUGAGGAUGUUAGGCGCGAGAAAAACGAACAGCCUCAACGCGAUCACGCCCAAGCCAUGAUUAAUUCGGGCGUGGGCCCAUCACACUCCUGGGUUGGCCCAUUUCCGCCAUUUCCCUUUGCCUAGCCCACGACGAGAUGUCAUUGAGGGGUGACUGGCAUGUGGCUCCGAGCAGAGUUUUCUCCCCGAGUGGACCCGAGGGAUAUAUGUCGCCAAGCACCUGUUCCUCCAAAAAUUUUACCCCAUGCUUGUUUUCUCUUACCUAUCAUACCUAAUUGAUGUGUGGUUCUGGAUGGCCUAGCAGCACCAAACUUAGUUUCAUACUUGGCAUAUAGCUUAUACAACUCAGUCUUAACAUCAGCAAAAUAAGUACUGUAAUUAUAAUUGUUAGACUGAGAAAGGAGUCCAAGAACAUUAUACAAACCCCUCAUUUUAGCUCUAGGUCUAGAACAAAUGCAAAGGAAUAUAACAUUGGUAUAGACUUCCAGUACUUCAUGAACUUAGCUUUCAUUGGAACAACAACAACACUUAUAUUAGUAUCAUGUUCAUGUUCAUGCAGAUGGCUAGCAAAUUCAAGUAUGUGAUGGAUUACCAAAUGACUAGUGGGUCAAUAAACAUCAGACAAGACAACAGUUGAUUCAUAAAAUAGCUCAAGGAACUCCAAAACCUUUUCAGUUACAUACCAAUGUUGUUCAUUCAGUAGAGGAUAACCAUAAUGUGUAUUAAUGAACACAGAAAACACAGACUUAUAUGGCAAGAGAUGUUUUAGCAUAAGAUAUGUUGAGUUCCAUCUAACAUCCAUGUCUAAACCAAAAUUUCUAGGUCUACAACCUUUUGCUUUGCAGUAAUUACUAAAUGAACCAAUUCUCUGGUUAGAAGAGUUUAAGAAAUCAAUAGCAGUCCUAAACACAUCUAAAUAAUCCUUAAGCCUUUUCAAGCCACAUUUCGCGAUCAAGUUCAUAAUGUGACAGGCACAACGCUGAUGAAGCACACUAUAAGUUUUGUUACUAGGAUCUAUUGGAUCAACAUCAGCACCCAAAUAACCAGCAAGCAUAGGUGACAAUGUAAGCAUGACAGUUGAAUGAGAAGAAGCAUUAUCUAAGUUAACAGAGAACACUUUAUCAAUCAUUCCAAAGUAUUGAAUCACACGAGCAAUGCGUUCAGCAAUGUUAACACCAUUAUGAGACACUUGGAUCAAUUUAAAGCCUAUCACAGACUUCUUUAAUUCCCAAUCAACAUUAACAAAAUGAGCAACAACAGUAAUGUAUUCUUCCUUGGCAUUACCAGACCAUAUAUCAGAAGUCAAGCAAAUAGAAGACAUAGCAGGAAAAACAUCAUCUUUUAAGUUCUUUAAUUUUUCAUUGUAUAGCUUAACCAAGUCUCUAGCAGUUGUAAACCUAGAUACUCUAACAUAUCUAGGCUUGUGAGCAUGGUGAAUGUAAUCAUCCCAAGCAUCUAUGUCAGCUAUCCCUAACGGAAGAUCAAGUCUAGCAAUCAAACGACAAAGCUCAGUUCUAGCCACCUGAGGAUCGUAUUCCCAGUUUCUAAAAGACCCAACAUGGUUCAAAGCUAGUCUAGUUUGAACCAUAGCAGCAUGAUCAGACUUCUUUUUACAUGAUUUCUGGUGCCUAAGCAAGUGUCCAGUGCCAGCAUUAGAAUUAGCACUCAACCGAGCCUUGCAAAAUUUGCAAAUACCUGCAAUGCGCACCUUCUUAUCAUUACAGUUUUCUGUGACCUCAGUGAAGUCAUCCCAAACAACAGAUCGACGCUUACCAGAGCUUGAAGAAGUCAAUGAAUCAAGAUCAUUAGAGCCAGCAGCAUCACUAACCGGCCCGACAGGUGCCCCCUCAGGGUCAACGGCAGUAUGACUGCUACCGACAAUGAACAAGGCAGCAACAACAUCUCCUAUGACGUCGAUGUCAUCGGGAAGCUGCCCUAACUCAACGAGCUCAUCGUUGAUGGUUCUAGGGUACCGGCUGUUGUCAUCGUCGUCAUCCAUGUCCCCCUUCUCGACACAGUACCUCAACGGCCCUGCCGGCAUUAGCACGACCACGACGUAGUCGACCCACGACCUACCAAAUCCCACAAGCAAGCAGCAAAGAGGAGAUUAGGGUUAGGGUUAGGGAUUACCGACUAGGGAGGGAGAGCCAGAGAGGGAUGUACCUGCCAAGUCGGAGCCUGGAGCCAGAGACAAGGGUCAAGUGCACGACGACGCGCGACGAGCCGACAACCGACAAUGACGUGAUUAGGGUUAGGGAUUUCUGGAUUGGGGAGGGACCGAAGGAGAGACGGAGAGGGGAAAGCCGCAUGGAAGGAGAGUAGGAGACCCACCGAUGUCACAGUGACGAAGAUCCGGCAGUGGUGAUGGUGACGGCGAGGCAGUGAUGGCAUGGCGGGCGGAUGACGGAUGAGCGAAUCGUGUGGGAGUGGGACACUAGGAGUCUAAGACGGGAUGGGGGAGGCUGGGCCUUAUGCCCCGCACCCCGACACCGGCCCGACCCCGUGCCUGCCAUUUUCUGGCGGGCUGGGCUGCCCGGCGGGCGCUGCCGGCAGCCCAGGCACAACCUAGUUUAUUGGGUCGGGCCAGCCCAGGCAUGAACCCAGCCGGGUCAUGUCGUGCUUGGGCCAGGCCAAAAAACUGGGCCUCGUGUUGGGCGACCAGGCCUCGGGCUGCAUGCUCAUGUAUACACACUCUUCAUUCAAUACAAGAGCAAAGAAUACACUCCAAAGACACAUUCAAAGCCUUCAAUCCCCUCCAAGUUCCAAAAUCAAGUCAAGUGAUCAAAAGUGUUUAGUGACUUGAGAGAGGGUGAUUUGUGUUUCAUUUGUUGCUCUUGUUGCUUGGUUGCUUUCUUCUUUCUCCUUCUAAUCUUUCUAAGUGUUUUGUAAAGCAAGCAAGAGACGCCUAAUUGUAUGGUGAUCCUUGCAGGGUCUUAGUGACCUGUGUGAUUAAGAAGAAGCACUCGACCGGUCUAAGUGGCCAAUUGCGAGAGGGAAAGGGUUGAAAUAGACCCAACCAUUGUGGCAUCCUCGACCACUUGUGUUGAUCUUCACCAUUCGCUUUGUUUCUUCCCUCUUCUCUCUCUCUCUCUCAAGUUCUCUUGCUCAUAUUGUUUUGAGUUAGCUCCCAAAGUUAUCCGCAUUGAUUGAGCAACUCAUAAGCAAGAAGAACUACCUUCUGCACUCCGAAUUCAUUAUUAUUUAUUUCUAACUCUAACCCCGGGAAAAGUGUGUGUUCAAAGUUUAUAAAUUUCAGGUUUCGCCUAUUGACCCCCCCCCCCCUCUAGGUGACUUUCAAGUGGGUACCCUAGUUACGGAGUACCGACAACAGCCAACACAAUAUUGUGAUCUAACUAGUUCGCUAAGUAUGUGAAUGCAGAUUUAUAAGAAUCAAAUUGAGGUAUUCAAUGCAUCAAUUGGCUUAAAUCAAGGUUGGAAAGGGCAUUGUUUGGAUUAAAUGAACCAUGAGAGUUUCGAUAAGUUCUAAACCCUUAGAAACAUAUUUGGGCACCUUUAAAGGAUUAGAUGUUCGGAUUUUGGAAAAAUAUAUAUUUGGAGCUAAGUUUGACCAAAAAAUGGAUUCUAAGUUAGAUGGACUAAAAAGGUGAAGAAUUAUGACUUAGGCUAGUUGGAUAGAAUCUAGAUAAGUUUGUAUAAGCCAUAGGAAUGCUAGUCAAAUGGAACCAAAGUAGAACAUCUAGUUUGGACUUAACUCCAGCAUGUCUGUGACGCAUUGAAAGUCUGAUGGCGUACCGGACCAAGUACACAAUGAAGAAGUUUUUUGUGUUUUUGUGGCUUGGUGGUCCGAUGGAGCAUGUACCACUUACGGAGAGAGAACUUAUUUAGGACUUCGAUGGUCUGGUGCACCGUACCACUUAUGUAGCACGGUCGUCUUUGUACAAGCUGAAGCACUUGGCACACCGGACCAGACAGACUCAACAACAAGUUCCUACUCCAAUGGCUAAUUGAUGUGGCAGAGUUCGAUGGUGGACCGGAUCGUUCGAUGCCACCGGAUAUGGCAAGCUUCUCGUUGAUAGGCUUUACAUUUGAUUUUUUUUAGUCUCAACUUUGACCGUUUGGCUUAUUAAAAAACUACAAUAUUGUUUACUAAUUUUCAAUGUAAUUUGGUCUUUUGAUUUUUUUUAUAAGAUCAACCGUUAAAGUUGAGACUAAAAAGUCAAACGUGUGAACGUAGGUAACUAAUUUUCAAUGUAAUUUGGUUUUAAGUAUAUGUGUAAAUCAUUUUGAUUUUUUAUAAGAUCAACCGUUAAAGUUGAGACUAAAAAGUCAAACGUGUGAACGUAGGUAGUAGUACUUUAUCUAUGGUGCAAUGUGGCUCCUAAGUACUUGAAGGGCUAAAAACAGACACGACAUCCCCAAAAGUUUGUGAACACACACCCUCGUUCUUCUUUGCGUCGCCAUAAUGUAACAAAGUCACCAUACGAAAAAAGCUACCUUGACUAGAUAAAUGCAGAAAGCAAAAUAAAGUUCCGUAUUCUUGAACUUUAUCUAGAUAAUGGACAUAAACGACGGUCGUAUGUAUGUACGUUAAGAAUUAAUUACAUGCAAAUUAAAAGAUGAAGUCACUCAUCUGGAUCCCCAAACGCACACACCAUUCAUUCCUGUCUUCCUGUACACGUACAUUUCGUCUAUAUAUCUGCUAUAGUCUUGUAUUAUUAUACAAUAAUAAUAGAAGAAUUCGGAUUACAAUGCAUUCCAUAGCAGCAGAAGAAGCUCAGCUCAGCUCAGCCCGAUCACAUGUACCUGCGCAGGUAUUCCACCCUUGUGGGGUGCUUGAGCUUCAUGAGCGCCUUGAGCUCGUACUUGCGCACCAUCUCCCGCGAGAUGCUGAGGUUGCCGGCGACCUCGCUUAGCGUGCGCCUCCCCCUGCCGUCCAGGCCGAACCGCUGCCUGAUCACCAGGCUCUCCUUGGGUUUCAGAGAGUCCAGCUGCAGUGGGUUUGUGUCGUGAGCAUAUAUUGGCCAACAAUUAAUUGGAGGAAAUCAAGAA